rnacentral:lncRNA from 1 species
UAAAAUCAGCAGUCGACUCAAGCACAGAAGUUAUCUACAGUGAGAAUCCUGAUGGUAAUUUUGUGAAGUCCAACAACUUUUCAUAUGCCAUUGUUGUGGUUGGCGAGCAUCCUUAUGCUGAGACUGCGGGAGACAGCCCAAACCUAAUGAUGGCGGAACCUGGCCCAAGUGUCAUCAGCAAUGUGUGUGAAAGUGUCAAGUGCAUUGUUGUCUUAAUAACUGGCAGACCUAUUGUAAUUGAACCAUAUAUUUCCUCGAUUGAUGCUCUGGUGGCAGCAUGGUUGCCAGGCUCUGAAGGCCAAGGCAUUACUGAUGUCCUUUUUGGGGAUCGUGGAUUCAGUGGAAAGCUUCCAAGAACAUGGUUCAGAACUGUCGAUCAACUCCCAAUGAAUGUUGGUGAUUCACACUAUGAUCCACUUUUCCCGUUUGGGUUUGGACUGGAAACUGAGUCAGUAAAGGAGCUUGUAACAAGGUAACUCUUCAUACAUGUAUAUCUCUAUAUAGGACCAGCUUUGUAGCAGGUAUCCCGUUUUACUGGACGCUUGUUCAUAUAAUAAAACUUGAUGGGAAAGAGAAAGAAAUGAAAUUUACAAGGGAGUUGGGACCGGUGGUGGCUUCUAAGUUUCAAUCUAUCAUUACUACAUAUUGUUUUAAAGCAUUCAUAUGUUGUGGUGUAAUAUAAAACGAAGAACUUGGUUACUUGUAUCGAUACUGAUUACAGCUUCGUGAUGCCUGCAGGUCGACCUCAGCUGGUGUUGUUGCAAGGCCAUGCAUACUUAUCGUCCUGGUUGCUCUGAUUCUUAGCUUUAUAGUUUAGAGGUAUAGUUUUGGGUGUAGGAUUAUUGGGUUCUCGGCUUUUCCUAAUCGCGUAGGUUUCAGCUUACGCAUUGCCUUUUUCCUCUAAAAAUUUCAGGAAGCUUUUACUAAUGGUAGAUUCGUACAGCAACUGGAUUUGUUGACUGACACAGUUUAUGGCAGAAGGAAGGGAAAAGCUUUGAGUUGAUUAGAUUAUGACUGCCACACAUUCUGGUUAACAAACAAAUUAUAAGCAUUCAUUGUCGAGCCAUUUUAACGAUUACAAUUUACAUGCAGCAAAUUUGGAUAAUAAAUUAAGUUGAUUUUUGUUUUGAAAUUCUUGAGUGAAAAAAAAAAAUUGUUAGGAGGGUCAUCAUCAAUGGGCCCUUCUAUUGGUCUAUUAUUUUUUUUUAAGCAAUCUUUUGCAAUUUUGCUUCAAUACUUCGUAGUAAAUGAUACGGAAAAUGUAUGUAUGAGAUAGUAAGAAUUUUUAUCACAAUUGGUCAUUGAAAGUGACGUUCGUUAAUUUAGUCUUUGAAGUUGAAAAUUAAUCAACAUCAUCCCUAAAAUUUACUAGAAACAUCAAGGAGCUGACCAUCACAACUUUUUUUUGGGCCCCAUGAACCGGAACAAGAGGACGCAAGCUCUGAGAGAAUACAAGAAGAAACUGUCACAAACUUCACAUGCAUCACAUGCUUCUCAUACUCACGUGUCUUGCACGAAUAUAUCUAAGACAAAGUCAGCUACUAUGACAGCUGGCACAAUCCUAGCUUAUGACCUAGUUUAAUCUCAGCCUUCCAUUUCCAAUUCAAACAAAUAAGAACAAGACUAAGUACAGAACUUGAACUCUUAAGAAAUCAGCUUCAAGGCUUAAUCACUAAAAAUACAUACUUGAUCGAAGAGAAAGAAAAAACAUCUUUACAAUACAUACGGAUAAGUAAAUACUGACCACGUACCAACCGCAGGUGAACCAAGAACUACGCGAAAAACAAAAAUCUAAAUAGAAGAGCUCAGACACUGAUCCAAAUAUAUCCCGAAGUUCUGAAAAAAAUUGCGGUUUUCAGAUCCAUGAUUGCUGUCUUGAUGUAUACUAGUUCCCUCUCGCGUGCUCUCUAAGAGCAUCCCCAGUGAGGGGCUCUAUAUAGAGCUGUAAAAGUGGUGGAUAGAGCCCAUUUUAAAGCUCCGAGGAAUCUUGGAGGCUUUAUAAAAGAAUCUCUCCCAAUGAGGGGCUAUAUCUUUCGGGCUCUAUAUGGGGCUAUAUUUAUUUAUUUAUGUAGUAAUUUAAUUAAGCGAUGAUUUUUUUUUGUGUGUUAGCUUUUCUUAAGUUGAUUUUUGGACAUGUUAUCUUAAAUUUUUUAUUUUUUAUGAACCCUUCAAUCUAAAAAGUUCAAAUUGUGACAAAGUUAAAUUUCAUCACUUAUGAAUCGUUCGUUGGAUUAGAUUCUCUUAUCUUAAACUCAUCCGUUGAAAGAAACAAAUCCCCAUUUUGCCAUCUAAAAUAAUUUGAUUUUCACGUAUAACAUAACAAUUUACCUAGCACCAAUUGGUAAAUUAGUAUCAUACAAUUUAGAAAAAAAAAUUAUUUGAAAAUUUCACCCAUCAAUGCCCAUAAACAUUAAAUCAAUUUGAAAAUUUAAUCCUUAUGAAAUUUAAAACAAUCAUUAAUUAGCCAAAUUGCAAGAAACAUAAGAAAGAAAAAUAAUUAAAAAAAUAAUUAAAGGAGAGUAUAACUGUAUUCGCAAGUGGAGGGAAAGUGAUAGAAUUUAGCUUACAUGAGUUGCUACUUUUUUUGUGGGAUCCACUAUUUAUGCUACCCAAGAAAGGAACUUGCUAACCCCAAUGACAGAUCUAGCUCCAUUUUUCAGCUCAUUGGGGAUGAAAUUUCUUGCUAAGGCUUGAAACAUGGUAACCUCAUGGAUGAUAAAGCCCCAUUGGAGACGCCCUAACUCAAGGAACUAAAAACGUCGCUGCCUCAUCGCUUCCAUACGUCGACGUAGGCUCAUUGCUUCCAAAUGUCGCUGCCUCGUCUCUUCCAAACGUCGACCUCGCUGCCUCAUCUCUUUCCGCUGCCUCAUCUCUUCCAAAUGUCGCUGCCUCAUCUCUUCCUGCUGCCUCAUCUCUUCCAAAUGUCGCUGCCUCAUCUCUUCCACAUAGCUUGACUCCUCAGGAACAGUCAAAAUUUCAGCAUCAACGAAGGUGUUGAUUGAAUUCUGAACUAGAGCUUUGUAGAGAUGGCCGAUGAAGGUCCUGCUAGUGUCUUCGCCUCAAAAAUUCAAGAAGACAUCAUAUUUCCAAUCAGGAACAGAUGAAGAAGAAGAAGCCAUCAACAAGCACAAGAUCGACAGCGUAAUGUGAGUCUCGUGUAGCCCCUUAACAAACUCAAGACUGCAGGUCAACGACCCCCUUCAUUGGUUCUCACUAGAAAAAUGGGAUGCAUCUUCAAUGGGGGAGCUUUGAAGUUGCCGGAAAGAAUGGUCGUUUGGCUAAAGUCCAAUAACAAAUACAAAUGAAAGAAAGUAACAUUCAUAUUUUAUUAAGCCUUUUUAUUUAAAAUAGUCUGAUUGUCAUAACUCUUCACUUUGGUUCAUGAGAUUUAAAAUCGACAAAAGUGGUCUUUGAGAUUGUCCACCGUCAAUUAUUUUUAUCAUUAUGUGAAAAAACUUGGUUAAAAUUAAGGGCAUUUUUGUCAAAUGAACCCCUCCCUUAACUGAUGGUUUCUUCAAUUUGAUGGAGAUUUUUCACAAAUUAUGAUGCAUAUUGGGGUAGUCCAAAGCUCCUUUAUGUGUGUAGCUUCUGCUUAUGUCAUGAUCUUUCCACUUCUACCAAUUAUCGUUUCAAAUGAUUUUGUUUUUACUAUUUAUUUUAUUGUCACGCCCCGAUCUCGAUCUACAUCCAGGAUUGCCACUGACGUCACCAAGUAACCAUAUACUCAACAGAUCCCGCCCCCGGGAUAAGUACGAAGCAUAACUCAAGAAUCGAAUCGCAUAAUAAUUUUUCGUAUACUUUAUGGCUGCAUCUAACCUCCUCGUUAGACUGCCUACGUACCCUCAAUAGGGAUCAAGCCAUUCGUAGUUCACCAUUCGUCAAACUCUAAUCUUUUUGUAAAAUACUUCUAGCAGAAAUCAUAAAGUACCACGACACAUCAGCCACACUGUCACGCCCCAGACUUGGGGUCAGUGAAAAAAAUAACCCCGCACCCGUUGCGCGAGUAAAAGUAAAAUAAAUAAAUAAAAGAAAAUUGACACGGGUUGGAAAAAUAAACUCCUCUUAUUAAAAUAACUCCAAAAUCCUUACAAGAUGUACAAAAAUAUAAUAAAUUAAAAUCCUUAAACUUCUCAAUCACAACCUCAGCUCUUCUAACACAUGUCUUGCCAAAUGACAUCUGUAAAAUAAUAAGUGAGGGGUGAGCAACAACCACAGUCGCUCAGUGAGUAGAAUAAGUAAUAUGUCAGUCAAGCAAUGCCUUUUUACACACACACACUAGAAAAUAGGAUAAUAAUAUCAAAGCUUUAACCACGUAAUUUCAUAUCACAUCAUCCCUUUACGUGUUCAUUACAUCCUUCAUAAAUUGUAACUCACCACGUGAUCCCUACUGGCCUUUCCGCCCUAAUGUCCUCAUGUGCAGUUUACAUUUAUCCCUCGGAUUAAGGCAACACUAAAGUUCUCAUGCUCCAUGAACAUAUCCAAACAAUCCACAUAUUACCAUAUUAAUGAUUCCAAAGGUAUUUCAACAAAUCCAACAUGCUUGACUUAAAAUAGAUAGAGAUUAUAAAUAGAUAAAACUCAUGAUAGUUCAUGGUUUUCAUUUAUCAGAAAAUAAGAAUAUUUUGAAACACAUUACAUAAACCACUCAUCUCGAAAAUCCAAGAUUUGGCAAAACAACCCAACUAACAUCUCCGCACACCUCAAACUAGCUUUCCCUUUUUCUUUUCUUUCUAAGCUCUCACUCUAACGUAUAUAUGAAUAUAUACGCACAACACACACACACACACACACAUAUAUAUAUAUACACACACACUUAAUGCAUGCUCUACAUGUUUCCUUCUUUUUAUGCUCCAAAAACAAUGGAGCAAAGCUCCUAUUUAUAGUGAAAUAGAACGGCUCCAAGACUUGAGGUCCAAGGAAUAUAUACAAUAAAAUAUAUGAAGUCCCUAUUUAUAGUACCGAACGGCUCCAAAACUUUGUGACUCAUAAAGGCACGUGUCAAUUGGCAUGGAAUCAUAACAUGAGGAGAUGACACCUAACUAGGUGAUUAAGCUAAUGAUUAAAUGGUGGCAAUAAGAUGUGUCAACUGGAUGCAAGACUUGAAUUGUGGAGCUACACGUCCAACCCAGCAUGGUGCUCACAAGCACCUUAAAAAGGAUAGGAGAUAAGGCCGCAUGGUAAGCUUCACACGUCCACCUUAUAAACUUAUGACUAAGCAUAAGCAUGGUUCUAGGGCUUAACUAAGAAAAAUAUUCCAAAACUUAACUUCAAGUCUAAUAAAAUAAAUAAUAACUUAAACAUAGGGCUUUCACCAAUAUAAAAUAUGGGUUCUCACACAUACACCGAACAAUAAUUAUCACCUUUUCAUGCACGCAGGUAUGCCAAUCCCACGCAUAUGCUUUCCAAUUCAUCCAUCAUAUAAAUCACUAUGAUUCACAUAAUACCGCAAUUCAUAGUAUGCUACAUCUCGAAGAACAGUCAAUGAAGCACAAUGUUAUUCUAUAGUCACAUAAAUCAACGAGUCUAUCAUAAUAAUAACAAUCAUAUCCAAUGUUGUUCCACAACCACUCCAAUUAAUCCAUCCCAUGAAUCACAGAUGCACAAUAUUAACAUUUAACUAUGUUAAUCAAUCAUCAAGAUCACAUAUCAAUUCACAAAAUUUAAUAAAGGAUUUCAACAUAAUUCCUUGCAUGGAUUCCAAGUAAUACAAGGUAAAUCCAAUUUAUAAACACAAUGUCUAUUGUGAGCAAUUUCCUACUCACUCGAAUCUAGGGUCGAACUAACCUUAUGGAAAUGAGCAAGAGUAGGGAUUUCGGACCACUCAACGGAAUCCAGCCCAAAAUAUAAUUGCCAAUCGGAAUGUACCAAGUAUAAUCCUCCUCACUUCUAGAAUGCAUAUGGUCUCCCAACGCGGAUAUACCAAGCAGGACCAUCCAUGUACCACUGCUACAUGGUGCAGUUAGAUCAACAUACAAACCACUUACCCUUAUCUCAUACGCUAUGAUUUACAUCGUAAUCACCUGCAUUAUCAACUUCUCAUGACCACUAACUAUCUUAUCAUACAAGCAUAAAAGUUCUACAUAAUACUUCUCAUAAGAUUCUGAGUUCAUAUCAUCAUAACAUUUAUCAUACUUAUCAUUCACAUUAUUAAGAAGAUAAAUAAGCACAUAUAUAUCACAAUAUGACGUUCCAUACACGUAAACCGAUGUAUAUAUUAUCUGGGAUAACUCACUAACCAAUAUAGGCCCACUAAGCCCUACAUAGACUCUAGUAAUACUGAAUUUAAUAGUUUAGAUCAAUUCAUAGCAUAUUGACCAAAAGUAAGCAGUAAUUAGAUUAAUACAUAUAAGGUUUCCCAAAACCCCUACCUGGAAUUCGAUUAAUUUUGUUCCUUUGAAGAACCUAAUAGGAACAUAAAAUUACCAUCAAAAGUAUAAAUACGAGUAACACACCUUAAUAACCAAACUAAGUGUUUAAACACAAAAUUAAUAUUAUCUAAAGAAAGUACACUGAUUCUGGAAUCUACCACUCAAAUAGUAGUAAAGAAGAUUAGAAAGGAAUCUGGAAAAGAAAAGAGGUGUGGCAAAAACAGUUACUCUGCUUCUCCACAAAAUCUGCAGAAAACAGCACAAUUGGACCAAGUUUAGACUCCCUUUGGAACAUUCAAAACUAAACCAAAUCGUGUAAUAUUAUAUGGGUUUUGAAGCUUGUGUUUUGUACUUUAAAAGCAUACAAAGUUUGUAGAAAACGGAACUCUAAAUUGGAAGUUAUGCCAAAAAGAAAAAUGAAGUCUUGAAACUGGAAACCCAAUUUUCUACUACUGUUUGGCAGCUUGCGACCCAAGUUUAAAUGAGGUUUUGAUCAACCAAAACUCAAUGGAACUGAGUGAAAACAAUUGGGUUACGAUCAUGAACAAAUGUACUUUCAACACACUAAAAUAUUUCUUCAAAGGAGCACAUAAAGACCUAGAAAUUAAAAGUCGAAGAAGACUACUUGAAACUUGAGUUUUCUUUGCCAAGAAAUCAAUUUUCUGCAACUUACGUAACAGCCUAUCUCCAAUUCAUAUAACAAAUCCCAAAAUAAUUCCAGGUAGUCCAGAAGUCUUGUAUACAACAUCCAAAACUAACAUGACUCAAAAUUAACAAGAAAUUGACCUUUUGAACCAAACCCUUGAUCAAGAAAUUUGAUCUACACACCCAAUCCGAAUUACCCAACUCUAAUUUACUCUUCAAAUCUCUGAAUUCUUCCUUCACAAUCACGUUCUCCAACUCCUCUCUCUUUGAUUUUUGUCUGAAGAAAGAAGGAUUCUUCCAAAAGCUAUGGAAGAGCCACCUCCUCCCCGUUUCUUUUUCUUCCCUCGCAAAGCUAGGAAGAACGUGAAAGAACGUUCUCCCCCCCCCUUUUUUUCUCUUCCGCCCCUCUCUUUUCCUUCCUUUCCCUGCUGCCCUCUAGUCCCUUCCCUUUUGUCUGAUUGGUCCACACUAAAUCUUACAUGAUUGGGCCUCUUUCCCACAAAGUGGGAAUUUAUUUAAUUAAAAACUAUAGUUUAGUAAAUGAUUUCAAAUGUCCAUAACUAUACCGUUAUAAUCCGGACCCGCAAACAAUUUUCGCCUAUGCGUUCGUGAUCUCGGAAUCUAUUCAACAAUAUAAAUUGUGACCUCGAAAGGUCCACGUGUCACAUUCCGUCCCGAAAUUUUAUUUAUCGUUGAUGUGAAAUGACAAAAUUGUCCCUAAAGAUUUCUAAGGUGUGUGUGACUUAUACAUUCGAUUGAUAUUGUCCUUCCUAAGUUUGUGGAAAAUUUAAUUUGGAACUUAGGUUAUGUUUUCAAUUGUGUGGUCAGGGUUUAAUGUGGACCACUCACACAACCUUUCCUCUCUCUCUCUCUCUCUUCCCUCUCAGUUCUCUCUCUCUUUCGAAUGGUACGGACAAAGGACCAAGUCCCUCAAUUUUUCACAGAUCGAAGGUUCUAAGGUAAAAAUCGAACUCAUCUUGGGCCCCUGAGUUUAAAUAUACUAUUUUUGGAACUGGAAACCUUCGAAAUCACGUAGAAACCCUAACCCCGAAAAUGUGCACUGUUCAUGCACACGUAAAAUUAGGGGUGGUUCGGUAUGGGAUCCCAUACCGAAACCCUUGUCCCGAUUCCCAAACCAAAAAUUUCGGGAAUCCCAAUUUCAAUACCGAUCCCAAACCAAAUUUUCGGGAAUCCCGAAAUAGUUUCGGGAUUUCGGGACAAAUCGGGAAUCCCGAAAUGAUUUUGGGCUUUUGGGCUUUUGGACUAAAAUAUUAUGUUUUUGGGCUAAAAUUGAACCUUUUAACACUUUUGGGUUGCAAUAUGCUAAGAAGCCCGUUGCAAUAUGUGCCAAUUGCAAGUUAUGUCAAUUUAAAUGUAGAUGCUACAAUUGCAAGACUUUGCCAAUCUGGAUUCAAAUGUAGAUGCUACAAUUGCAAGACUCUGUCGAUUUAAAUCAUUCAUACAGAAAUAUGUGCAACUAUUGAAGCCUUCAUUUUCUAUGGACUCUAUUGAUCUAAAUAUAUAUUUAAAAAUUAAAUAAUAUAUAUUUUUUUUUCGGUUCGGUUUGGGAAUACCGAAAUCCCAAAAACUUGAGACCGAUUCCCGUACCGAAAUUUCAGGAUCGGUUCGGUAUUGGGUACCGAAAUUUUCGGGAAUUUCGGUUUGGUUUCGGGAAUUUUUCGGUUUGGUUUGGGAUUUUUGGGAUUUUUUUCCAGCCCUACGUAAAAUAUUGCAUUUCAGGGAAUUUCAAGCUCAUAGUGAGCUUAAGGAGGUUCUCACAAGCUUGGGGGUACUUCGUUGGUGGAAAUUGGACGUUAGAGGACUGAGAACGAAGCUUUUCAAAUUUGGCCGGAUUAUCGAGUUUCCUCAGGUAAAAUCUAGGGGAUUUUAGACCUUGAAACUUGUGUAUCAUGAUUCUACAUGUUUAGGGCUUCAUUUUGGUAUAAAUUGCGUGAAAAUUGGUUGAGAAACGAAGGAGAACAAGAAGUUUAAAAUUUUGCCCAGUUUUCGGCACCGGUGAUGAUCGCCGGAGUUGGAGGAAGGAGACGAGAGAAUAUUCCGUCAAGUCUGACAGAAUAUUCUCACGCCGUUAGUCAGUUUUAAUGGAAUCCGUUAGGAUUUAACGGAAUAUUCCGAAGAAUAUUCCUAAUGGCGUCACAGUCUCAGCCCUGUGUGCCAGGCACGUGCCGCGCGUGGGUGGCACGUCUGGCCGUGCCUUGGCCGGCACGUGAGGGCGCGUGGGAAGUCCAAAAUUAAUUCUAAAAAUAUGGGGAUGUUCGUGGAGUUGUGUAGAUCACUGUGGUAUAUUCAGAUACCCAAAUUAAACAUCGUAUGAGAAGUUAUUUCGAAUUGUUGGUUAUGUGCUUUAAAAUAACGUUUUUAUAGUUGUUUCGCAUAUAGGUGAGACCUAUCCCGAGGACGAGCGCAUUCAAGGGCGUCACGGGGGUUACGACCCGUCGACAUAUCAGUGAGUGGGCAGUUAUUUUCUGUAUUUACCUAUAUACUAUUGAUUUUCCCAGAAAUUGAAUAUAAAUGAAAGUAUGUUUUAAAUGCCAUGCAUGCAUAUUAUGAAAUAUUUGAGUUAGUAAUUGAUGCAUAUAUAUAUGUGAAAUUGUGUUGUGGACGCACAUGUGAGUUUUAUGUUAUUCAUGUGAAUUAUUGAUGAUGUGAAUUGUCUUGAGAGCUCAUAACAUGCACCCCUGGUGUUAGUGCUUAUAUUAUUCACCCCGCACCACACGCUCACCUUGGAUCCAAGUAGGUGCAUGUCGUACAGAUCACAGUGGUGAUUCCGACAUGUCGUACAGACCAUUAGAGGUGGUUCCGACCUGUAGGUGACUUUAGAUUGUUAUACAGCUGUUGAUGAGAGAAGCACUAGAGCGUAUUCUUACACCAUUCUUGUCGUACAAACUACUUCAGGUAGUUUCGACUUAUGUGCAGAGUAGUACCGUACAGGUCACAAUUAGUGAUUUCGGCUGGAUUGGAUAUUGAGCUAUCGAAUUAACCGUACAGGACAAACUGCAGGGUCUCCGAUUGAUUCCUUAUUUCACCUGUUAUAUUGUUGCAUCUUUAUGUUGUUGUGAAGCAUAGCAUGGCAUAUACAUAGUGGCAUGUUGAUAGCAUAACUUGAGAUAUGUUUUAAAAUGAAUAUAUAUGUUUAUAUAUGCUAUUUUUCUGGGAAUGUAUACAGGUUUUACAGCGAGGGGUUAGAAAUGUUAUUAAAUGAAAUGUUUUCGAAAAACUUUGUUUUACUGACCCACUCAAUCUUGUUUUGCGCCCCUCCAGGUUCUAGUUAGCAGCGUUGGUGGUUCACAAGGAUUCCCACGACAUUCUGACAGACUACUCAAAUGUAGGACUCAUCUGCGGGUGUUGUAAUUUAGUAAUGGUCCUACUUGACUGCACCUAGUACUUAUGUUCUGAAUAUGCGUGUUUCACACUUAAACUCACUCUAGCAUGUUAGUUGGAUUAUUAUGGCUAGUACUUGGUUUUUAUUCCUUCGUAUAUCUUUUAUCCUUUAUGCUUCUGCGUCGCACUUAUGGUUACGUCACACUCACGUGACGGCCAGCACGCCCUGAUUCUAGGUUCGGGGUGUGUCAGUUUGGUAUCAGAGCCUAGGUUGCAGUCCUGUAUAAAUUGUGAAUGCUCUAAUGAUCUUUUGAUGUUUUCUGUCAGAACUAUGCUGCCUCGUAGGGAACCACGUCGUGCUUCUGAGCCUAAUUUCCCUGACAUAACUCAAUUAGGAGAAGCGAUGGCCUAUGCCUUUCAGAAUGCAAUUCGUCUUCCUCAGAGAACGCCCUGGAGACUAUGUAUAAUAUGAAGUUAGACCGAUUCAUGGGUAAUGGGUCAUGAAGGGGCAGAAAAGUGGUUAGACCAUAUAUUGAGAAGACUUUUCAGGUGAUGCAGAGUCAAGGAAAUCUUUCUUCUAAUAGAUGGGUCAAGACCACUACUUGGUUUUUAGGACGAGAGCCUGUAGCUUGGUGGGUAAAUCAAACUCAGUUUAUAUCACCUGAAGCGGCAACAGAUUGGGAAGUAUUCAAAGAGAAUUUUAAGAAAAUAUUUGUUCCCCCAGAGUACAUUGAUCGUAAGAAGCAGGAGUUCACUUAAUUGAAGCAAAAGAAUAUGUCGGCGCAUGAGUAUUAUCGGAAGUUUACGGACUUAUCCCGCUAUGAUCCUGAUACAGCUGGUAACCAGGUAGAGAUGCUUCGCCGUUUUAAGCUGGGAACUAAGAAGAAAUGGCGGACUUUUGCUAGUGCAAUUGCUUGCACCAAUUACCAUGAGUUUUCUGAGAUUCUGAUUCGGAUGGAGGAUUCCGAAAACCUUCCUAGUAACAGUGAUGAAGAUGAAGAUAAGAAGGAUAAGCAGAAGACAGAUGACAGAGGUAAAGGUAUCUCCACUCAGGGACCCCGUAAGACUCAGAGUUUCAAGAAAAGUGGAGUGAGCUCGAGUUCUUCCAGUGGAGGAUUUAGUGUCACAGACCCGAGGAGGGGUGGAAGAUUUACUGGUGGACCCAGGUUUCAGAGACAGAGAGACUUUGGUGGUACCAGUGGUUCAGGUGCUCCGUUGUGCCGCCGUUGUAAUUUCAGACAUCAUGGAGAGUGUAGGAGAAGUGGCGGUGGUUGCUUCACUUGUGGAUAGUUUGGACAUAGAGCUUCACAGUGUCCCUAGAGUCAGCAGAGGCCUCAGCAGUCUACUAUGCCACCUCCAGCGCCGAUUCAGCAGAACUUUGGACCAGGUAGUUAUGGUCAGACGGGUCGUGGUGGUGCUUACCAUUAUCAGGGUGAUGCUGCUCCCUAUGCUUCUAGGCAGUAUCAGUAUUCCCAGGAUUCUUAUUCUCAGAUUGGGUAAUCCCAAGAUCCUGGAGGUUAUACUUCAUAUCCUACUAUUCCCAAGAUCCUUAUUCUCAGACUGGGUAUUUCCAAAAUGAUGGGGGGGGUGCCUAUUUGUGACCAAAACUAGACCCGGCAGUUUUUGACACGACACGAAAAUAAUGGGUUUCAGGUCAACAUGAUAACUUAUCGGGUGACGGGUUCUUAACGGGUAUACGUGCAGGUAACACGUCGGUAACCCGUUUCGACCCGUUAAGAAAAAAAUUAUUUUGAUAAUUUUAAAGUUUAAUUACUAAAAGAUUUAUUAUAAAAUACAAUAGCCAUAUUAAUAAAUACAAUAUAUUCUAAGGAAAACUAAUGAAAAGAACUUGAAAACUUUGAGUUUUAAAGAUAAGGACAAAAUAAAAGGUAAAAUGAAUAGUACCAGAAUUGACUUUUUAGUGUAAAAAUGUGAUUUUUCGUUAAAAUAAACAGUACUGGGAGCUUUUUCAUUCGCAAUACGAGAGCAAACUACAUGUUAGGAAUAAUACAGUCAGCCCCGCAUAGGGAGGGUUUUGCCAUACAAAUAUUGAAACCCGGUACAACAGACAAAACUCAUUAGAGCCGACAGCAAAUUAGCAAUAGGAUCUGCUUCACAUUAAACACUAGUGUCGCAGCAACACUCAACAAAGAUGCACCUCAAAAGGGAAAUGGCAAUUCCGCUCAAUUUUCCCCCACCGCCCCGUUGGAGGGCCAAAGUACUUGCUCGUCAUCAAGGACGCCAUGAAUUUGCUGAUCCACUAGUGAAAUAUCGGCCACUCCUCUUUAUAUAUCGAUACAAACUCAGAACUUUAUUUCUCCACCAGCUAAAGGAAAGAUCCACACACCAGAUCCAAAAUAGAUCUUCUGCCUUCGCCCAAAGCAAAAAAGAACGCUUGCAUUGGAUGUCUUGGAAGAAAGAUCCAGCUAUAAAACUGGAGAGCAGUCCUGAACAAGCCAGGGGAUGAUCAAAACCCUGCAAAAACGCAAGGACAAACAAUUCUCCACAUGGAUCGAAGGGGCAAGGCCGAGUUUAUUUUUCCAAAUUGAUUCUAGAGGAAACAUGGAGAAAACCCCCUGAAAUCAGAAUAGGAAGGUGGCUGUUUGGUGUUCUACGGUGGUUGGUUUUUAUCCUAAAUAGUUUAGAGUUAUCUUUCUAACGUCUCUCCGAAAAACUGAGAGUUAAGUGGAUAAAACUCCAAACUAGCGGGUUGGUCUUAGAAGAGCCUACACACAGACACAGAGUCAUGGAAUACUUACAAAUUCACUGCGACACUGAAUGUCAAUCUGUAAAUGCUUACGCAGCAAAAAAACAUGAUCGGAUUCGGAUUCAUCAUAUUGGAGAGAUAAUUAUGGGAGUCAACAAAAUAUUGGGAGACAGCUUCUACAUUCUAGGGGUUGCAAACAAACUUCAGUUGCAGGGUUUUUUGUGCCAAGCAGCCUGCCCUGAAUUAUUGGUUUAACUUAAUGUAAAUGUUGGAGCAGAACUUGAGUCAAUAUCUACAAUUUUAGAUGAAAGAAUUGCUUAAAUCAACCAAAUUUCUCACAUCUGCAACACGGUAAAGCAAAUGCAUUUCUGCUAUCUAUAAUCCUAGUUCAGAUCUUAUUGGGCAAUACUAUUUUCAUUGACAUCAUCAAGAUUCAAACUAAGAAGUUACAUCAAUAUGAAGAGAUAUUUGAUCUUGGCAAUAACAAAAAUCACGCGUCCGCAUAAACAAAAAGGGUCAGAACUAAACCUGCAAGAAAGCAUGAGGUAAACCUCAGACAUUCUUUAACUUCUUCAUCUUUGAUGGAGGACCAUCUGCCUUUCUUUUCUCAGUUUUCGCUUGCAAACAAGUCGUUCCUGCGAAGCCUUAUUUUCUUCGCCAGUUGCAUCUUCUUCUUCUGCUCUAGCCGCUCUUGCAGCUUUGACUCCAAAGGAAGCUUGUCGACAGGUACCACCGCCUUUUCCUUGCUAUCUGGAAGGGGCUCACUGCCCUCAUUUGCAGCAGCAGUUUCCAUCAAUGUGAGAGGAGGCCUUAACAACUAUUGACGCUGACCUUUUCACAACGGGCAUAUGAAGUCGAACUCCGCUGAAAGAUUUCGGAUGCAGAUUAUUGGGUUUCAUGUGCAUCCAUGAAACUAAAAGCCAGAGACACAAAAUAAAAUUAUCAUACGAAUAUGAGGCGAAAAAUAUACGGAAAAAGCUGAUAUACAAACCAAAUUAACUAUUAUUACUUUAGUCUAAAGAAGCUUUUCAAUUGCACUGUACAAAUGAAUAGUCUUUGGAGCCGAAUUUCACUUUAUUUACGAGGUUGCCACUGACUCUUUCUGCCGCUGAUCUUCAUGCCGUGUGUUGAUGAUCGUGGAAAGGCAAGGGUGCAAUGGUCAGUUUGGUCUGUAGGGUUUCGAACGGGUUGGGUGGGUUAGAGACUUUCAUUUCCUUUCUUUCUAAGCUGUAGUGGGACUCGGUGAGAGCAUACCGUCGGGAGAGAGAGACCGAGCGAGCAGAGAGAGAAGAGAAACACUGAGGGAGAGAGAUAGGGAUUUGGUGAGAGGAAUGAAUGCGACUUGUAGGCAGACAAAGUCACUGGGGGUGUACGAUUCGAAGGAGAGAAAGAAAAGGGAUUGAGUGGUGAUGCUUGAUUUGGGAAGAGAAAGAGAGAGAGAGAGAGAGAGAGAGAGGGAGAGCACGAUUUUGGGGUUAGGCGACGGCGGGAGAGAAGGCGAGGGUUGUUGCAUCUGUGUCACUCAAAGUGGGUUGCGAGAGAGUGAGAGUGCUGCGUUCUAGGGUUUGAGAGUUGGUUUCGAGAAAGUGAGGAGGCCAGAGUUGGGGUAAGGCUUGGGCUGGGUUUAUGGAAUGGGGGAGGAGGGUGUGGAAUGUCAUGGAGAGGAAGGGAGAGGGAGGUCUGCCAAAAAACGUGGGUUGCAGAGCUACAACGAGGGAGAUGGGCGUGGAUUGGCAGGGAGGGGAAGGGAGAGGGAGGAGUGAGGCUUGCCAAAAAGAGUGUUGGAUUGAUUUUUCCUCCUUAAAUCAAGUGUUGGUGUCGGGAUUGAGGAGUGGGUCCAAAAUGGGUAUGGUUGUGACGGAAAGAGGGAUGGCAGAGACAGAGGUGAUGGAGUUGGGCGUGGGAAUUCCACAAAUCAAGGGCUGCUGUAAAUGGGUGUUAAUAUCAGCAAUGAGCAUGAUUCGGAUAUGAGUUCUCUCAACCUUUUAAUUAAUUUUUUUUAUAAAAGAUCUGUAAAUGUUUCAUUUCCAUUUGAAAACUUGGGAAUUCUAGGUACCGUAUAUUGUUUAUGGAAGAAUCUCAGUCUCAAACCCCUCAAACGAUCUCUCGAUCUCUUAAUUUUAGGUACCAUAUAUUGUUUAUGGAAGAAUCUCAGUCUCAAACCCCUCAAACGAUCUCUCGAUCUCUUCUCCCCGCCUAUGGUGAACUCCCUCCUCCCGACCCUGAGAGGUACCUCCGUUGCCUUUACCUUCUGUAAUUUUUGGGGUUCGUGAAAUUAUUGAGUUGAAUGUAGGUUUUUUUGUUUGUUUGAAAAUUUGUAUUUUAAUUGUUGCUCACUCUUUUUUUUUUCUUGCAGUAAAAAGACUUUGCAUGAGCCACAAGGUUAGUGAAAUUAUAGAGUUGAAAUUGUUAGUGUUUUUCUUUUGUUUUUUGUGAAUUAUAAGCUUUGUGAAAUUAUUAAGUUGAAUGUAGGUUUUUUUUGUUUGAAAAUUUGUGCGUUAAUUAUGCUCACUCUUUGUUUUUUCUUUGCGGUAAAAGACUUCGAAUGAACCACAAGGUUACUGAAAUGAUAAAGUUGAAAUUGUUAGUGUUUUUUAUUUUUAUUUUUUGUGAAUUAUAAGCUUUGUGAAGUUAUUGAUUUGAAGAAUGUUGUAUUGGAACUUGGAAUGAAAAUUUUGAUUUGAAUUAUUAGAUAAGCAUGGAGUAUGUAGGAAUUCAACCCACGGCUAGCCAAAAACCACCUCGCCGGGCUGAGUCUGGUGCACCGGGAAGUGGUUCUGAAUGACCUUCUGAUGACCUUGCCCUCACAAGUAUUAUUUGUUCUAAUUGAAAUUUCUAAUAAGCAAAAGUAGGGAAGUUAUAGCUUAUUGCUUUGUGGAAGUUAAGUCUAUUUGGGCAUUCUAUAUUGCCACUGUAACAUGCUUAAGCUAUUUUGUUGGUUGUAAUAUCAUGUGUAUCAUGAAGAUUCUAAGGAAACGCAGAUGGGAGGAGCUCAAAACGCUUUGGUUGUUGGUCUAUUUGCACCAAGGGCACCGUGCGUGGUUUCUUGCUUACAAGUGUAUUAAUGGUUGUUUUCGCAUUUAUUUAAUAUACCUAUGUUGCACAUGUUUCAACUUAUGCCUCUUCCCAUGUAUAUUUGUGCCUAUUGAUUCGGUGACUCGAGCAUUGCAGUUCGCAAGGAUGAUGAGUCUACACGCAGCCCCGAAGGCCGAGUCAACUCACCAAUGACUGUACGAGUUCGCAAAUCUGUGAAGGUACAUAUUAAAUUUACCUAAUUUUUGGAUUUUGAUUUAGUUCAAAGUUGCAGUGGGAUUGAAAAUUGGGACUUUGUGGUACUCUCUCCCUCUCUCUCUCUCUCUCUCUCUCUCCUAUGUGUAUGAAUUGAGUUCUGAAGUGCCUGUGCAGAUGGGCGUGUUUACUAACUAAGCUUUCAAGGGGAGCCCAUCAACGGUUUGCUUGCUGGGGGAAUAUGGAAAUUACCAGUGUAUGAUUUGGUUAUCUUUUAUUUUUUAUUUAAAAUUAUCCAUAUAUAAUGUGGGUAUAUUUAUAAUAAAGAAUUGUGAUAAGCUAGUAUGCCAUAUGACUUUGAAAGCAUUGAUUUUGUGUUUAGUUUGGAUUUUUGCAUUGUGAAUGUUGAAUUUGUGUUUAUUUUGGAUUUUUGUGUUUGAAUUUGUAGCAUGAUCUUUCACUGCAUCAUCCAAAUUUUGCAUUUGUAAAUUGUGAAAGACAAACGAAGUAUGAGGAAAUUAUAGGAGAUUGUGUUGGCUUUGGCCAUUAAGGGUAUUAGCAGGUUGUUCCCCCAUACAGGUGAAUAGUCGUUUUUCAGUGUCUGUUCUAUUUGGAUGAGAAAGUGAUUGAAAAAAGAGGAUUUUUUUUUUUAUUUGUUGGUUGAUUUGUGUGUGGACUUUUUUUUUUUUUUUUUUUUUGAGUAUAGAUGUGAAACCAGCAAUGCAAGAGCAGGAUCUGAUUAGUCAUGCCUGAAAAGGGGUUUGUUUCUUAAAUCACAUUCAUUAGAUUAUUAAUAUGCUUUGAAGGUUCUUCAAUAUGCUUUUCUAAUUUCUCCUUUCCAGCGUUCUCUUUUUGGUUUUUGGAGUAUGUUUGUGAUUUAUAUUUGAUUAUAUAAAUGCAGCAAUUAAUUUGCAUCCUUGUGACAACGCAUAUGUGAAAGUGCAUUCGAUUCCAAUAUGGGUAUGUGUGACACGAUGUGCCUGCUGUUGCUGGUAGGCUUGCUGUUGUUUCUCGCACUGUUAACUUUUUGUGUGUGUUGAUUUGAUUAACAAUUCAAGCAUAUCUUUUGUGUUAUUUAUUUUUUUUUUUUUGUGUUUAAUUUUAUUUGAAUUUCUUAAUUUGUUCAAAGGAUGCUUGGUUAGCAGCCAGUUUUACUUAUUGGUUUUUUUAUUUGGAUUUAUAGCACUGAGGGUAUAGGUGAACGGUGAAGCGGUUUGUAUGGGCUCAUGCAUCUUAAACAUGUAGUGAGAAGUGAGGAUUUUGUUUAAGUGUUUUACAUAAUCUAAAGGAAUAUGUAGAUACUAUGAUUUGGACUUGCGUUCUUAAGUCAUGAUAAAGCAGUCCAAGUAAUUUUAACAUAGAUAUCAUUUUUUAUCUAAUGCAUGAGUAUAUGAAAUGCUAGACGAUAAUAAAUUGGGCAACACCAUGUGAUUUAAAAUUCAAAGAGAUACAAUGAACUGUGUUUGAUAUUUUGUUUGUCUUGGUUCAUUUAAAUUUGGCCUUUUCAGUUGGAUUCAUGGGUUUUGUGUAAGAUAUCAUGUUUCCGUAAGACCGCCAGCGGACAGAGACAGAGCGACAGAGAGAGAGGGAAAGGGAAGAGUGGGGAUCUCACAGCCAUGGAUUACGUCGCCAGUAAAUUUGUAAUUUUCGUUAUUGUUAUUUGUUAAUUAAUCCAUUUUUUUUUUGUUUGAAGGUCAAUUAAUUUAUCAGUUAAUAGUGUUGCUGUUAAUGAUUUAGUUUAAUUAAUCAGUUAAUAAUACUGCUGCUAAUGAUUUAGUUUUAGUAUAAUGAUGCUGUUAAUGAUUUGGUUUUGAGUUUAAAUCUGAUUAGCAAAAAUCGGAGGGUUUAAGGUUAUGCACUUGUUUUGCAUGUGACUGCCAGAGAAAUUCAAGCUUCUGCCAAGGUAAUUAUCGAUAAUUGGAUUGUUUAAUGCGAUCAACGUGGUAGUGAAAUGUUGAAUUUUAUGGCUACAAGUUUCUAAUUGGAAUGCUAAUGCUGCAAUUCAUGAUGAUCAAUAUUUUCUGACUUGAACAUUUACUGCAAAUGUAUUGUUGCUUUGUGAUGAAUGAGUUAUCUUUUGCAUAUAAGUCUUUUUAUUUCUCGAUACUAAGUCUAAAUAGAGAUUUCAGAGCAAAAUUGAGUUCAACAUAGCUUUGAUGGAUGGAUAGAUGUAUGCUUAGUUUGUAAGAAAAGAGAAAACGAAAACCAUACCAAACAACUCGCAUUUAAAGCUCUUUUUCUUUUUCUCUUUUUACAUAAAUCUUUCUUUGUUAGAUUGCUAGGGGGCUGCACUAUGUGAGGGAUUACUAUAGAUACUAGCCUUACGUGACUGCCUUGAUUUAUGCAUGAUGGAACUAAAUUACUUUAGAAUAGAUAAUUUUUUUGGUCUUCUUUCUUUUGUUGGAAUGUUGUCACUGUAAUCCGUUAAUUUUGGAUUGUUUAGUGUCAUGGGUUCUGUAGAAUUAGACUCCAGUUGUGUCAUGGGUUGUGUCAUCCCACAAACAAUUAUGCCAUGUGUGGGAUGCUGGAUGAUUGCUAAAACAUCAGACUUAUCAAAAUGCAAAUAGGAAAUAACACCUAUGUAAGUAUACUCUGGUUUUGGCCCUGCAUUCUUAGUUGUGUGAGAUAUGCAUGGUUGAUAUCAACUAAUAAUGCAUAUUGCAAUUAUAUUCCCUUAAUUGAUGGGGUCUUCAUAACCUUUAUGAAUUGAGUAUAGGAUUUAGAUGCAUAGUGUUGCGAUGGGAACAUGAAGACUGCAUUUGGGAGUGUGCAUUAAGUGUAUUUGAUGCAUCAAUAUUUUUUUAACUUAAAAUAACCCCAAAGGUUUGGCCUUUCUGUAUUCUCAUAUAGCAUUCAACCAACAACAUGCCAUAAGGUCUCCAUUCUCUUUUCUCAUUUUUGUCAGGUCUUUUGAAACAAAAGCGUUCAAACAUACAACGUGAAAUUGCAUGAUUAGAAGAAAACAAAGAUACCCAAAAAAAAAAAACUACACAAACUAAACCAAAUAUUAAGUCUUCCAGACACCCAAAUUCAAAACCAAUAAGUAAUGAUAACUACAUUAUUUUCUUUCCCAAUACACAACAAAUUAGCACAAAAACUCUAUAUAUAUGUAUAUAUAACGCUUCCAUAUGCUUAUUUCUCUUUCUUAGACGAAAUUAUCCAUAUGUCAAACCAUAGUGGAUAAUUUCACUUUAAUAACACUUCCGUAUGCUGAUUUCACCUCAUUAUUUUUUGCAUUCCAAUUGGUCUUUGUUUCGUUCUCAGACAGUUAUCGGCAUAGAUGAAGUAAAAUUCCGUUCUUGGCUCUCUUUUUCUUUGCUGUAGCAUCUUUUGUUUGUUGAUGUAAAUUUGGGUUAUGUUGGAUUUUUCAAUUUGAUUUUCCAAUAUAUGUUUUUGGUGACCAACUGUAGUAAAAUGCUGCUUAAAUAUUCAUCACGUUAAGGUUUUCAUGGUUAUUCGAGAAUAUCAUAUUUAAGUCACUAGAAUUCUUUAUACAGGACUGACUAGGCUCCUAUUUUAAAUGACAGGUCAAUCCCAAUUUUAUGCAUUUAAGUGGAUCACCCUCCUCUUAACCCAGGAGUUCAAUUUCGCUGACAGCCUUCACACUUGGGAUACACUUUCAAGUGAUCUGAGGGUCCUCAGGUAGUAUUAUAUCCUUUUGGACUGUAUAGACUGAAGAGUCUGUUUUCAAUGCAUGAAAUGAAAAAAUUUGGCUUUUGGUUUUCGCCUCCUGAAUUAUCUGAGCUAUUGAUUACAUUAAUGUAUGUAGUACAUGGUAUUUUUAAGCCCGAGGAGGACUAAAUUAGUAAUUUAUACAAAUUUUCUUAUGAGAAGACUUUCUACAUCUUUUCUUAGUCUUCUUAGUGUAUGAUUGAACUUUAUACUCCUUUCAUUCAUUAAUUUAUGAAUUGGGUUGUUUUUCUUUUGGGAUUUCAGUAUUUAGGUCUUUAGUGACUGCACAAUUUCAUGGUUUUUUACUAUUUCAGAAGUAAUUGAUAGAGUUAGAUGUGAUUCUACUAAAGUUGGAAAUCGUUGUGUCCUUAGAGCAAGCAAGUCUGCAGAUAUCCAUUUUGUUUUGAUUCGGGCACCUUCAACCAGACUGUAUAGGACAUAAAAAAAUGAUUUGAUUGCGCUGUUAUUUAUUUCUUUUUUUUUGAAUUUUUAUGGAGGUAUCAUUUUCUCAACAAAAUAGAAAUCACAUAAAUAAAUAAACCACUCAAGCAAUUAAUCUUCAAUAAGAACUUAAUAUCUUCUCAGGUUGGACAAACCAGCAGGUGUACUUCUUCACAAAAUUUACUUGCCCAUCUCUUAGAUGGAUAUAAAGAACAUCAAUUGUGUGUCUCUUACAUUUUUUGGUUUAGCUUUAAGUUAUGAUUUCUGAUACCGUAAUGAGUUUUUUCUCAUAAUGCAUAUGAAGACCUUUGAUUAUGUUGGUUCUAUGUUUGAACUUUGAAGCCAGAAAAACUCAUAUGUUGCUUUUGCAGUUUGAUUAGUAGUUGUUAAUUAGAAUUGGCUAAUUCUUUUACUAAGAAUUUGUUUUUACUCACUCUGUUGGUUCUUCAUAUAAGUACAUAAAAAGUGCAUCAAAGACUAAUUAAAAUUAGUUAGCUUAUGGGUGUGUUAACAUGUUUAAGUAGUAGUACUUAAACUCAAAAGAUGCUGGAGUGUUUCUUUCAUUAAUAAUUUGUAUUGAACUCAGCAUUUCAUAAGAGUCGAACCUGAGAGCUUUGUGGAAAGGAAUAAAACUAGAUCGUACCAUUUUAUGUAUGUUUGAUUACAUUGCUUACAAUUAGUAAUAAUUACAUUUUAUGGACAUUGUAGCUUUCAUGGAGUCCUCUGCUCAAACAUGUGUGAAGUUGAAUGACAAUAGACUACAUAUAUCAAAUAAUGUGGCUCACAGAAUUAAGUAGGAGAUUUAGGAUGGUCAGUUAGUUGUUACAUCCAUUUUAAUUUUCAAAUUAAUUUAGUAAUUGUUUGUGAAAACUCACAUUUCUGAUUUUUUUAAUUCAUUGGACUAUUAAACUGUGUCUUUUCACUUUGCUUUGUUUUACAUAUGUAUUCAACUGACAAUGCAAUAACUUUUUUACAGUAUCACUAACAACUCCCUUUCAUGAAACCAAGGAUGUAAAUAGAAUUAGUAUUUAUGAUGUAAUAUGUAUAUUUUUAGGAGUAUUACUUAAUUGAAUUUGGCACUGCAAAAAAGCAAUGUUGCUGCAAUUGUUAUUUACAUCCAUGCCAUUGGUUUAUAAGAAUGGGCUUUGUGUGUUUGGGCUCCUUGAGUUUGUUUGGUUGCUAUGAAUUGUUUGUGGCGGAUGAAUUUACCAUUUUGAUAUGAUCCUUUAUAUAUAAAAAUUUAUGAAAUUGCUUUGUGUUUAGUUUUUUAUUAUCUAUUUUUGGUUGCUAUCAAUUUACUUGAGUCACGGACAGAGAGCAGGGUUGACCUGCUGAGAUGGCAUAGAGAAGACCAUGGUUGACCUGCACGGAUGGCAGAGAGAAGAGGAGAGAGGGAAGAGUCGUGUGGUUUGGAAACAAGGGGUGGGAUGAGCAAAUCAAGGGUUAGGGGUGCCUGAAAGCUUGAUUGUGUUUUUGUCGGAAACGGGUGCACAGAGAGAUGGCUAGGCAGGGAGGGAGGGCGAGGGUAGGGUUGUUUUCAGUAAUUUUGUUCCAGCUGGAAGUCAUUUCCACAAGAAUUGAUGAAGGUCAUUUCCACAACAAUUGAUGAGGUGUUCUCCCCAGUUGGCAGUUUCAUUUGGUUCAAAAGAUAAGUCUCAGUUUCGAACCAAUUUUUUCUUCUUUGGCUGCUUAUGGUUUGAUCCUAAUUGAACAUGCAUUUUUUUCCUUUUGGUUUGUUCAUUGUUCAGUUGUGGUUCAGUUCUCCACCUUUUGGUUGGAGUACAAAAAAUGCUUUUAAAUUAUUAAAUUAGGAGAGCUAAGAAGAUAUUUUGUGCUAAUUGCUAUUUGAUAACUUUGGUUUUCUCUUUUGGCACCACCUUGCUCUCCAUUUCCCGUUUUCCUCUUGCUCUGCUGGUUUUUCAGUGUUACAACCUCUUUGCAAAAACCACACUGUAUGUGUUUUGCAUGUUUUUGUUCAUGCUUCUAUUGUUUGUUGUUGUGGUGGUGACCAUGUGAAUGGAAUUCUUAGUUAUCUAUUCCUCUAGAAUACGUGAUGCAUUUGAUUUUUGUUCAUUGACAGAUGAUGCCACAUGCCUGACAUUUUUAUGCCAUCACUCUUGGUUCUUUUGUGAUUGUUAUUGUUUGUUUUAAAAUGUGUAUGAUGUGUGUGAUGCACACAUUAGAGCAGAUGUUUCUACAUGUGGUUUUAAAUUGAGCAGAGGCCAUAAUUUUUUUUAUGGCGAUCUAACGGAGGACAUGACACAGGACAGAACACAAUGGCGUUCUAAGAUUCAUAUAGCCGAUCCCACUCAGUGACUUGGAUUUUCCAAGUCUCCAACCGAGAAGUUGUCCUCGCUCGGGAAAUUAAGGGAACACUACCUCAACCUACAUGCUCCACUCACAAAGCUCCAACAUACAAGCUUCAACAAAAGAAAAUUCAAAGAACUUAGUGAAGAAGGCUUUGGUGAUUUAACACAAUACGUUGAAAUUAAGGAAAACUUAUUUAUUGAUAUCCCCGAUAAAUUACAAAUAUGUACAUAUACUUGAGUCAAAAUAAACAAACAAGAGGGAGCCUUCACAAAGGUUGCUUAGGAGAAGUCUCGGCAGUCGGUAGAGCCCCAGAAAAAGAAGGCACCGGAUGGGGAUCAUUCGGAGCCUCAGUAUUGGACAGAACCCUAGAAGGAGGAGGCAUCAGAGGUUGAUCAUUUGGAGCUUCAUUACGCGGUACAGCCCCAGAAGACGAAGGCAAUAAAUGCCUUUGGAACAAACCCACAAAUCUCUGAUGAUCAAGUAAAACCUGACCAUCAAAUUCCUUCAUCUGGUCAAGCUUCCUCUUCAUGUUUGUAGCAUAGUCAUGUGCGAGCCGGUGCAACUGUUUAUUCUCAUGCUUGAGCCCUCUAAUCUCCUGUUUGAGACUCAUCACUUCAGCCGCCAAUGAUUCAACUUGGCGGGUUCGAGCAAAUAGGCGUUGGGCCAUAUUAGACACAGAACCUGCACACUGAACACUAAGAGCCAGAGAAUCCUUAACAGCCAACUCAUCAGACCGUUUGGAAAGUAGUCUGUUAUCUUUGGGAGUGAGAAGGUUCCUGGCCACUACCGCAGCGGUCAUAUCAUUCUUCAUCACGGAAUCCCCAACGGUAAGAGGACCAGUAGGGGAGACGAAGGAUGGGCGCCAUAUGUUGUCUGGAGAAGGCGGGGCUGCCUCUUCAACAAGGUUCAAGUCAAAACGACGGUCGGAGGGGCCAGACAUUUUCAAAGGUGUAGAAGAGAGAAGAGGUCGGACAAAUCAAGAUCUUAGAAGUGCAAGAAUGGAGCUUCUACUGGUGGAUAUUUCAAGUGUGCUUUGGAACUUAAUGUCAGCCUCUAUAAAAAUCUGCACUCGACGAAGCUUCAGAAAUCGAAGAGGCGUUUGCUUUCUCAAAAGCUGGGCUGCUCAGAGACCACGAGGGUCGAUCUCAGAAAUCGAAGAGGCGUUUGCUUUCUCAAAAGCUGGGCUGCUCAAAGACCACGAAGGUCGAUCUCAGAAAUCGAAGAGGUUUGCUUUCUCAAAAGCUGGGCUGCUCAGAGACCACGAGGGCCGAUCUCAAAAAUCGAAGAGGUUUGCUUUCUCAAAAGCUGGGCUGCUCAGAGACCACGAGGGCCGAUCUCAGAAAUCGAAGAGGCACCUACUUUUCCAACCUUGUCAGCACCUGUCACACGCACACUCAGCUUUGCGGAAAUUAUGGGCAUUUUGUCGAAGAUUUCUGGCGAAGUAGAAAGCACAUGAAUCGUACUGUUCAAUCACCCACUUCCCACACGCAACAGUAGCUCAUGGGUACCACAUAUAACUUUGCCAAAGUUCUCUGACAAAGUUGAGACUACUUUUCCAGCCUUGUCAGCACCUGUCACACGCACACUCAGCUUUGCGGAAAUUAUGGGCAUUCUGUCGAAGAUUUCUGGCGAAGUAGAAAGCACAUGAAUCGUACUGUUCAAUCACCCACUUCCCACACGCAACAGUAGCUCAUGGGUACCACAUAUAACUUUGCCAAAGUUCUCUGACAAAGUCGAGACACGUGAAGCUUGCAACUCUCACUACAUCGCUCUGACCAAGAAGGGUAAAAGAAUAGCAAAGAAACAACACUAACAAAGUUUAGACACAUAAAUUUUGAAGGCCUAGCUACCAUAUUAUUACCCACAAGGGUAAAGGAACAGUACCACUGCUGGAUAAUUGGAAAGUCCCGGUGUGUCAACCUCUGUGCUUCAUGGCAAGGUAGACUAGCAAACAUGCCCAACCUUUACUCACAUUCGAGAAAACACUCCCAACAAGAUUGCUUGCCCCAAAAUCGAAGAGGCAUCGCCCUCCGAAUGUCGAGAGCCAGACUCCCAACAUGAUUACUUUCUCAAAAAUCGAAGAGAGGGUAAAGGAACAGUACCACUGUUGGAUAAUUUGAAAGUCCCUGUGUGUCAACCUCUGUGCUUCGUGGCAAGGUAGACUAGCAAACAUGCCCAACCUUUACUCACAUUCGAGAAAAACACCCCCAACAAGAUUGCUUGCUCCAAAAUCGAAGAGGCACCGCCCUCCGAAUCUCGAGAGCCAGACUCCUAACAUGAUUACUUUCUCAAAAAAAUCGAAGAGAGGGUAAAGGAACAGUACCACUGCUGGAUAAUUGGAAAGUCCCUGUGUGUCAACCUUUGUGCUUCGUGGCAAGGUAGACUAGCAAACAUGCCCAACCUUUACUCAUAUUCGAGAAAACACUCCCAACAAGAUUGCUUGCUCCAAAAUCGAAGAGGCACCGCCCUCCGAAUCUCGAGAGCCAGACUCCCAACAUGAUUACUUUCUCAAAAAUCGAAGACACCGCUCUCCGAAUCUCGAGAGCCAGACCCCCAGCAUGAUUGCUUUCUCAAAAAUCGAAGAGGCAUCGUUCUCCGAAUCUCGAGAGGCAGAUCCCCAACAGGAUUGCUUGUUCGAAAACCGAAGAGGCACCACUUUCCCAACUUCAAGAGCCGGAUCUCCUUGGAUAAAGCUUGUCUGUAAUCUUCACACGCAACAUCAGCUUUCCAGAUACCACAGACCACUUUUUCAAAGUGCUCUGACAGAGUUAAAACUUGUGAAGCUGGCAGCUCCCACUACCGUGCUAUGACCAAGCAGGGUAAAGGAAUAGCAUUAUUACUUGAUGUUAGGGAGACUCCUAUAUAUGUCGACCUCCAUCCCCAACGGACAGGCAGACCUGCAAAAAUGCUCAACCCUUCCUCUUAUCUGAGAGGGCACUCCCAACGAAGCCUUUCGAAAUAUUCAGCUUUCUUUCCCCCCGAUAAUACCUCUGUAAACAAGCUAUACUAGAGCAAGAAUAUCUCAUAUCAUCAGGGUUAAAAGCAAGAGUAUCCCAUAUCAUGCUUUUUCCCUGUCUUUUCCUUUGGCCUUGUUCUUACCUGCAAGACAAGGAGAAAGAGAGCAAUCAGUCAGCACUUGUUAUCAAGCUUCCAGCCAGGAACUGACUGCCUGGAACCCCUUACCCUGGCAUUGCUCUCGAGUACUCAUCUUCAACAUCUUAUGCUUCCAGGGAAGAUACCGCAUCUGCCUGAGGAACAGAUAGGGCAAGUGAGAAGGAUACAAGGAAGCAUGUGGAGACAAGCGUAACAGCACACGUGCCGAUACAUCCACUACUCUGUCAAAAGAAAAAGUAUCCCAUAUCAGCAGGGUCGAACGUACUCUAGAUUUGAUGGACUUGUUUUGACCCUCAAAUUCUUCAGUCGGCCUUAUACUUUGGAGGAAACCAGAAAACCCUCCAGCCCAGUUCAAGAAUACGCCUGUGGAAAGUUACUUCUUCAAAAGCAAAAGUAUCCCAUAUCAUCUCUUCUCAUUUUUCUUCUCUUUAUCCUUCAUGCUGCUUGCAAGAUAGGGAGAAUGUGAACAAUCAGCCAGAGCUCUGAUUGCUUACCUUGUCUGUUACCUCUUUCAGCAGAUCCCCUAGCUCGGCGACUUGGGGGACUCCUACUACAUGGUUUGUAUCGUGCUUGACCAAGCCUGAAACUACAAGUAAGCUUCAAGUGACAUUGAUACAUUACCUUGUGCAUCUCCACCAGUUACAGAUACCACCCCUGGAUGGAGGAAGAGUACUUCCAGAGAAGAUUCCACAUCUACCUAUGAGACAGAUAAGGAAAGUCAAGACAAUACCACACUCCGGUACUUAGAAGUUUCGUGGUUACGAGAUCAUUCUCUCACAAUAUUUCCUAAUGUCAUUUGUACUAAAUCAUUCACUUGUACUCCCUAAAGGAGAGCUUGAACCUAUGUACUUGUGUAAACCCUUCACAAUUAAUGAGAACUCCUCUAUUCCGUGGACGUAGCCAAUCUGGGUGAACCACGUACAUCUUGUGUUUUCUUUCCUAUCUUUAUCCAUUUAUAUACUUAUCCACACUAAUGACCGGAGCAAUCUAGCGAAGAUCACAAAAAGUGACCGUUUUCGCUACCUAGGAUCUAUCUUGCAAGAGAACGGAGAAUUAGAUGGAGAUCUCAACCAUAGAAUACAAGCUGGAUGGAUGAAGUGUAAGAGUGUAUCCGGCGUGUUGUGUGAUCGUCGUAGGCCACUGAAGCUCAAGGGAAAAUUUUAUAGGACGGCAAUAAGGCCAACGAUGUUGUAUGGCACAAAAUGUUGGGCGGUGAAGCAUCAACACGUACACAAAAUGGGUGUAGCGGAGAUGAGGAUGCUUCGUGGGAUGUAUGGGCACACGAGAAAGGAUAAGAUUGGGAAUGAGGAUAUCCAAGGUAAAGUAGGAGUAGCCAAAAUUGAAGGAAAUAUGAGAGAAAAUCGGUUCCGGUGGUUUGGACAUGUGCAAAGAAGGCCUACUGACGCUCCGGUUCGAAAAUGUGACUACGGGACAGAAGUUCAGGGCCGAAGGGGUAGAGGAAGACCUAGGAAAACUUUGGAAGAGACCCUAAGAAAAGACUUGAUUACUUGGAUCUAACGGAGGACAUGACACAAAACCGAGCGCAAUGGCGUUCUAGGAUUCAUAUAGCCGACCCCACUUAGUGGGAAAAGGCUUUGUUGUUGUUGUUGUUGUUGUAGAUCGAACUAUCAUCACAACAUCGUGAUACUCUUGCUGCUGCCUUUGAUCUAGGGGUCCGCAGCGAUUGCACUUGAAUCAAGGCUCUGGUAGUGAACUUUCUCAUUCUUCCCGAAGUGCUUUAAUAUGUGUUGUUGAUAACUGCACUCUCUCAACGAACCAGAAAUAUUUUUAGACAAAUUGCAACUUCCGUAUUUUAGAAAAUGAGUGGCUUUUUAACAAUGCAUGAAUGCAGCUUACAUGUUCAGCAAAAUUCAUGGAUAUUUACAUUCAACCCGCAAGUAUCAUUAACUCAUAAAAUAUUAAGUUUAAUUCAUGGAUGUUUAUAUUGAACCCGCAAGAAUCAUUAACUCAUAAAAAAUUAUGUUUUGUAUUUUUUGUAUCGACUAUUGCUUCAAAUUUUUAUCUAAAACAUUGUCUAAAUGCUUAUUGGUUGUGUUUUUUGCCGCUUUGUUCAUUGAUGAUUGUGUUAAAUUUAUUCAGGUCCCGCCGCAACGCGCGGGCCUAUUUUCUAGUCUAUACUAAAGUAGGGGGAGAGCAGACACUAUUUACGUUUGUUUUGAUUUUGCUUUAUUUACAACAAUACCAGCCGAAUGGGAGUGGGUUGGGAGGGUAAUUCUCAAAAUUUCAGAGGGUAAUUUUGUCCAUAUGGCUUAUCAGGGAGCCACUCGAUUUCACGCAACAAAGCUGUCAGGUUUGGGCUGAUAUUGGGGCUGGGUUGGAAGGGCAAUUUUGUCCUGUUUGUUUGAGACGGAUUGGGGUGGGUUUACGUUUGCUGUCAUUCAGUGAGGGUUUCGGGGAUGGGAGGCCAUGCCUCCGAUAGAGAGGGAGAGAGAGAGACAGAGCGAGAGAGAGAGGGAGAGGGAUCCUGGCAUGGGUGAGUGGAAGGGAGACAGUGAGAGAAAGAGAGAGGGAGGGGUUGGAUGGUGAACAGAGCUGAGUAAGGUCCCCUCAGUUCAUGAAUCACUCUGGAUCGUCCUUUCCGUUUUGCAUGUCGGAUCAAUGGCUGGAUUUUGAAAGCUGAGUUCCAUUUUUUAUUCCAUUCUUUGUUGUUAGCAUAGAUGUGAACUGUUGGGGUUAGGUUUUGGGGGUUCCUUUGUUUCAUUUUCUCUCAUUUUGGGGAUGCAUCUCUCUGUUCUGUGCAUUGUCUUCUGUUUUAAGGUCAGUUUUCUUCUUCUUUUUUGUGGCUUUUUUUUGGGGGGGGGGGUUCAGUUUGUUGAUCUUUCACUUUGUAUUUAGAUUUUUCGUUCGUGAAUGAUUAAAUGGGUAUUGGGUUUUGGUGGUUGAAAAUAUGUUUUUUUUUUUCUGCUUAAGCUUCUUGCUCAUUUUCCUGGGAUUUUUGGUUUUCGGUUGCAAGGGUAAAGGGAACACUAAAAUCUCAGGUUAAAUGGGUAUUGGGUUUUGGUGGUUUAAAAUAUGAUUUUUUUUUGCUUAAGCUUCUUGCUCAUUUUUCUAGGAUUUUUGGUUUUCGGUUGCAAGGGUAAAGAGAAUGCUAAAAUCUUAGAAAUUGGUAUUGGCAAUUGUAUUAAUGCAUUUGCAUUUUCGUUGGUUUGCAUUAUAGGUGCAUUGAGACCUAAAAAUAUUUGCGUGAACUUCAUAAAUUUUUCUGAGGCUUUGAUCCUUGAAGGGUAUGUGUUUUUAAGCUAAGUUCAAUUUUUAAUUCGCUUCUCUACUGUUAGCAUAGAUUGUUAUCAUUUCUGCCCUUUUGUUAUGAAUUAUUUCUGGAUAUUAAAUAAACUGCAUAAAAUUUGGAUAUGAUGAGAAAACUAAUUAAACUGAAUGUUGGUAAUGAUUUCGUUUUUGAGAAGCUGUCGAAAAACAAAGUUUAGAUAGGAAAAACAUCAUCCUUACCAGUUAAGUCAUUGAUAGCAUUUUGAGCAUCCUGAAAAAGUAAAUGAGAGUAUGAUGAGAUUCAAUUUAGUUACAAAUUGACAAACUGUUAAAGGCAGAGGCUAGGCUUUAAACUAUUGUUCAGUGUUUAUCUGUACUGGUUUGUCUUACGGAAGUAUUAUUUCAAAUUUGUUGUGUGCUUGAGGAGGUCUAUCUUUUAUUCUAUCCUGAAAUUGGUCUGUCUUUGGAAUGGAAAGAUAAAAAUUUCGUAAAUGUUUUGAUAUUUUUGACAUGAUUUAUACUUGGGAUUUAUAUUUUUCAAAGUUUGUAAAAGUACUUGACCUGUGAUGAGUUCCUUUGUAUACGUUAUUAAAUAAGUUACAUAUUUUUCGUGAAUAAUUGUGUGUUUGAUCUGGUACUAGAACAAGAAUGCUGUUUGAAAUUUUGUUGGCGUACUAAGUGAAACUACCACUACUGAGGCUUUGGAGGAAUGGUGUCGAAACCCAUCAAAUUUUCCCAUACUGAUUGCUUCAUUUAUUUUUUUAAGCUUUAUUUGCCUCAUUGUUCACCUGUGAUGGUUUCAUCAAUAUUGGUAACAUAGGAUAAUUUCAUGUUUUUUUCUUUCGGUUUUACGACAUUUUUCCUCGCUUCAAAAUCUUAUAGGCUUCAUAAAUUUACUUACCUUUGUUGGGAUUCUGAUCUUUUUACUGAAAUUGUUUUGGUCCCUGCUACUCAACUCUGAUUUCUGCUAUUAAUUGCUGCUGAAAUGUGACUUUUGCUAUUAAUUUAUUUACCCUUCAUAUUUAUGCUGCUUUUUUAUUCCAUUCGAAUUAAAUAAUGUAGUUAAUCUUGAUAUGAAUUCUCUCUGCAACAAUAAUUAGCGAUUUUAGUUUAAAUUAUUAUUGAUUUGUUCUUGAUCUGCCAUUGAAUCUUUCUUAAUUUAGACUACAGGUGGUUCUGACGCGGAGGAGAAGCUGUAAGAGGUAAUGAUCCUGCUGCACUUAAGUGCAGUUGUUCUUCAACUCAUAUAAACUUUCUGGUAGGGUUCAAACUGUUAAGGGUUUUAUUAUUUUGCAAAAGCUUUUUAGCAGCAGAAGUUUGGUCUUUUUGUGGUUGCAUUAUUACACUAUACAACUUGAGUUAGAAGGGGUUUCUUGCUAACUGAUGUGACUUAAGAAUUCUAAAAGCAGUUGCAUUUUACAAUAUACAACUUUAGUUUGUCUCAGUUUCUCAAUGAGUGCCAUAUGAAUUCUUAAUUUAAUUUCGGAAGGUGAUGCGUUUAAAGUUUGUGUUAUGUGAUGAAGUUAGCAUUUUGUAUUUUUUUUUUAUUAUACACUGGUGGUGAACAUUUUUAGCAUAUUGGUUGAGAAAGAUUUAUCAUUUUCUCAUUUUUGUAUUUCUAUAAAUUUUGAGAGUCUUCGUUCUUCAAAAAUCAGAAAGGUUACAAUGUAGUAAGGGUGUAAGAGUUGCCCUGGAUCAAGCAAAAGGAGUAAUACAUUCAGCAUUUACGCACUGAAGUAGGCCAAAAGUGAAAACCGACGAGUAAAGAUUAUGGUAAUUCACUAAUUUAAACAUAAACCAGCUUUGAGAGUGAUACUCACCCAUUGUCGGUUUUCCUUGCGAGCAUAUUUUCUACCCAAAGUUUCCCAAACUGUUCUCAAACUGCUGUAUCGGCAUAUCUUUCCAACUUCUAAUAGUCUCUGGUGCUAGAACAUCUUCUAACUUCAUUCUAAAAAAAAUAGAUUGAUACGUAAUGACAUUUGAAACCAGGUAAGUAAACAGUUUAAUGAGGACGAAAUUCAGAAGUAGACCCAAAUUGUCAGAUAUUCCUUGGGAGUAAGCAUUGUUCGUUUUUAAUCACAAAUGGUAGCUAAAAUUAUCUUAUUUAUUACCACCAUUGAUUUGAAUUUGUAAUACACAAUGUUUAAAUCAUUUGAUCGUUAGUUAGUUAAAUUUAAUACUGGUAGUUUGGUUGUGAUCGAAUUUAUCCAAUCUCAAAAAGUGUGACAUGUGAGGUGAUAACAGACUAACAGAGGAGAAUGAGUUGACACUUCUGUGUUUGAUUUACAAAUUUUGGCUAAUUCUUGCCUUUUUUUUUGUUUCCUGGUGAUAUAUAUCUGUCUUCAUAACCAAGUAGCGAUAACUUUGAGUUUCUAGAAGUUUUAAUGCAUGGUUUAUUGAAUUGAUUUUGAUGUGUGGCUUAUUCAAUUUGAAUUUGGAUAUGUGCUAAUUUGAAGAACUUGACAAAAUCUGAGGAACCUUAUUCACUAUUUGGCCAUUAGAUAAAACAUCAAUAUAAUUUCCCUUGCUUUCACUGAUUCUCUGUGAUUAAAGUCUAGAAAAAUACAGUGAAAAAGAUGAAACUUUUUUAUGGGAUUGACAAUUUUCGGUUUAGUUUUGGAUAAAAAAGAAUCGGUGUGUUACUUAUUAAGUUGAGUUAACAAAUUUGCAACAUGCAACAGAGCACAUAGGAGAACUUUUCAAACGAGUUAAGAAGAUCUAGCUGAAAAGAACUUACAAGAUAGAGAACUGAUAUGCUGCUUUGUCUUUGUGUUGGAUUUUGAUGUUUAUGUUUUGCUUCUAAGUAGACUUUAUACUGUUUUAGAUCAGUUUUGUAAAUGUGCUUAAAGAUUGGACAUGUUAUUGAAUAUUAGCCAUGUAGUUUGAAUUGGAUAUGUGAUUGAAUAUUAGGUAUUUAGUUUGAAUUGAUUUGAAUAUGUGGUUUAUUGAAUUGGAAUUUGGAUGUGUGCUAAUUUGAAUUGGAUAUGUUUGAGUUAGAGAUGUGCUACUUUGAAUUGGAGUGUGCUAUAUUAAUAUAUAAUGAACUAAUGGAUACAGAACACACACACACACAUUCACCAGUCACCACAUACUUUGGGUUAUACCUGUAUGGGUGAAUCGCUCUAAUACUGUGUAUUGGCAUGGUUAAUUCUUUUAGGUGCAGGUUACCCUAUAGAUGUUACAAUUUAGGUCUCGAAUAAUCUUUCUCACCUCCCUUCUAAUACCAUCAAGUCAAGUGGACCUUUCCUAAACAAACCUACCAAUCUCUAAAAUCUUCCAAAUUUCCAUACCUCUUCUAUAGGUUUUCAGUGGAUCAAGACUUUUUGUUGACAUCUUAGUGUUUAUGUUCAACACAUAACUCAACAACGAGUUACAAGGAAAUGAGAUAUUUAUGCAAAUCAUUUGGAGUUUGAUCUAUUUGUAUUAAUGUACGAAUGGAGAAUUAUUUUAAUUGGUUUUUUUUAUGUUUAACAUCUUUUGUUAUUCAUAUUUUUACCUCUUUUCCAAUUUUGGGGAGCAUUUUUUGCUUUUUAGUUGGCUUUAAAACGAAAUUUUUUAAGCUGCCAAACUGCAUUUGGUUUUGUUUGAAGCUACUAAACCGCAUUUGGUUCUGUUUGAUUGUUGUCUAUUUAGAGUUUUUCCUGUUUUGGUUGGUGGGGUUGAAUUUAUUUGGGUUUAUAUUUGAUUUAGUUGGUUAAUUUUUUUUAUUAGUUGCAGAUGAUAUAUUACUGUGGAACUUUCAAUCUUUGUGGUCAUUUCAGUGGUAGUUUUGCAUAUCUUGAUAUGUAAUGAUAAAAAAAUUAAUGACAUUGGUCAUAAAACAAUUUUUUGGUUUGGUUUAGAAGAAUGCGGUUGGUUCAGUGAGAUUUUUAUUCAUUAACUGCAUAACCAAAUUUAUGAAUUGUAUAUGUUGUCUUGAUAUCUAUGAAUGUGUAAUGGAGAUGUAAACAGAUAGUAUGAAUGAGAGGGUUGAAAUGGAAUCAACCCUGUGGUUGGGGACUGAACGAAUGUAAAAUGUUAGAUCUAGUAUAAAUUGGAUAGUUGAGCAUCCCAGUGUGGUUCUCUGUUUUUCCAAGAGAAUAUGUAUUGGGUAGGUUGGUCAGCUUCGAUUUCAGCAAUAGGAGAAAUUUAAACUGUGAUAUAUAAAGUUGGUUAUUUGCUUCUCACGCCAUUAAGCCACAAAAGUUAUUCCUGCACUUAGUUCUUUAUUAUAAGAUUGAACAAAUUUAAUUUGCUUUUACAUCCGAUUGUAUUGAAGUAAUUGUAGGUUCCAUGACAUUACUGUUCCAUUAUGGCCUUGGUACAGAGCCCUUGCAAUUUACUCAACAUUUCACGUAGGCCUUGAACUUGUGUACUCUUCACUGAACCAAAUUAGUUGUGUUAGAUUCAAAAUAUUCCUAAAUUUUUUUUGUUUUGUUUUGUUUUGUUUUUUUGGUUUUUUGGUGUGUCUUUGCUCAUUUAGCUAAAUUUCAUUAGAUUUCGUCUUUGAAUUUGAAAGUCUUAGGGUUGCUAAUGGAUUUACUUUUUGCAAAUUUCAGAAAUUUCGAUCGUUGGAGGAAGAAGUUGGUUCCUUGAUGUUUUGAGGUAUAUAAUUAUGUGCCAUCAUUUUUUUUUCAAAGCCUAAUUAGUUAUCUACCUUUUUUUAUUUAUAUUCGUGAAUCUUUCAUGCUUGGAUUUUAAAUAUAUGUGUAAACACGGAAAAUUCCUGAAACGAAAGAGACAAGAACAACGUGCACAAACAAAUAUUUGUAUUUGAUGAUGUUUUUGGGUUACAAUCUCUCUCUAAUUUGAUCAUCUGAUUCGAUCUCCGUAAGACGUUGAUUUGUGGAUGUUUCGUUGAUCCAAGGGCCGUCGGGGCUUGAUCUUGGAUGAACUGUUGGAAGUUUCUUUAAAGGGCCGUGGGCUUGAUCUUUGAAGGUGGAUUUGAGCGGAUCUUCAAGGAGCCGUUUGAGGCUUGAUCUUGAAUAACGGUGAUGAGCGGAUCUUCAAGGGCUUUUGGGCUUGAUCUUGAAGAAACAGUGAUGAACAGAUCUUCAAGGGCUUUUAGGCUUAAUCUUGAAGAACGGUUGGAUGUGUGUGUGGAUUUGUCGACGUUGUUGAUCCAAAGGGCCGUUGGGGCUUGAUCUUAGGAUGAGUAGUUGUGUGGAUUUGUUGAUGUUGUUGAUCCAAAGGGCCGUUGGGGCUUGAUCUUAAGAUGAACGGAUGAUGAACGAUGAAACUUUCUUCAAGGGCCGUCGGGGCUUGAUCUUGAAUUGGUGGAUGAUUGUUGAUCCAAAGGGCCGUUGGGCUUGAUCUUGGAAGAACGAUGAACGAAGAACGAAGAACACUUUCUUGAUUCUUCGGGAACCUGGAUGCUUGAGAGCUUCGGAGUUUCAGAGCUUCAGAGCUUCAAGGUGUCAUAUGAAUUCCUUCCUCCCCUUUGGAAUGAAAUAGCCUUCUAUUUAUAGAAAUUUCCAAGGCCUAAUUUUGAAUAUAAUAUUCCAGAUGAAAUAAGUCGUUUCUGCCAGGUGUUGACACGUGUCCUAUUUGAUGACUUUUCCAACUCAUUUCAAUUUUCGUUGAGUCACACGCUACGUGUAAAAUUUUUGUAAUACAUGAACGUUGACACUUUGAUUUAUCGGUCAACAUUUAUUUACCGAAAUUUCGAUGUCUACAAAUGCCCCCACUUCAAGGCACGUCGUAUACAUGUGCUUGUCAAGUGUAGGAGAUGCGUUUUGAAGUCCCUUACUGUAGAUGUCAAUCCAAGGGCCGUCGAGGCUUGAUCUUGAAUUGGGCUGGAGAUUUCUUCAAGGGCCAUUGAGGCUUGAUCUUAAAUUGGGCUUGAGAUUUCUUCAAGGGCCUUUGAGGCUUGUUCUUGAAUUUUUGUUUGAAAUUUCUUCAAGGGCCGUCGAGACUUGAUCUUGAAGGUUGAAAUUGGACCACAAGGAGCUUCAUGUUGUAGAUGAUCUUUGGCUUUAGUAGUGGGUGAAUCGGCACAUAUUUUGUUGCGCUUGUUGACUUUCCACAGCUUUGAUCUUGAACUGGGUUGGAGGAUUUUCUGGAUUCCUCCAAUUGUUGAUUUUCCACAGCUUAUUCUUGAACUAGGUUUUGAUUCAAGGGUGGUAGACACUUAAUCUUGAAUCGGACUUGUGAUUUCCUCAAGGGCCGUCGAGGCUUGAUCUUGAAUUUGGCUGGAAACUUCUUCAAGGGUCGUUGAGGCUUGAUUCUUGAAGGUUGACUCGAACACAUGGCAAGCGGGCACGAGGUGAAGGUGACGACUUGUUGCUUUGUUCAAUCUUUCUAAUUCACACCUGAGCAGUUUGGUCAACGGUAUGAUCUUCAAGAUUGACGGGCUAUUCUUCCAGAUGGUGACUUGAUCUUUAAGGAUUUGAUUCAAGGGUGGUGAAUCGGCACGUGCAGCCCACAACGCCUAGUAAGUCGACCUAAGAAUUUGAGGGUCAAAACGAGUUCACCGUCCAGAGUGAUUGCACCCUGAUGAUAUGAGAUACUUUUGAUUUUAACAAGUAGCGGAUGAAUUAGCACGUGCUUGGUUGCACUUGUCUCCACAUGCUUCAAGGUAUCAUUUUCAUUUCCUUUAUCUGUUCCUCAGGCAGAUGCGGCAUCUUUUCGAGUUCUUCAUCUCAGACUCUUUAUGCUGAGUUGACUGUGUAUGCUGCAUUCUUCUCUGCUUGUUUCUUCAGGCAGAUAUGGCAGUUUCUCGAGUUCCUCAGUUCGGACUCCUUCUUCUGAGUUGACUGUGCAGACCGCAUUCUUCUCUGCUUGUUCCUUCUGCACCUUGUCUCCACAUGCUGCAAGGUAUCAUUUUUACUUGCCUUAUCUGUUCUCCAGGCAGAUGUGGCAGCUUCUUUGGAGGUACAGCAGCAGUGGGAAAUGAGUACUCGAGAGCAGUGCUAGGUAGGCAAUCAGGGAAGGGUUCCAAGCAGUCGGUUCCUUACCCGAGUUUGAGUGGAAGUUCCGGCAUAUUGUUUUCUUUAUCCUUGUCUUUGUAGGUAGGAACAAGGACAAAGGAAAGGACAGGGAGAACACAUGAUAUGAGAUACUAUUGCUUUCUACCCUGGUGAUAUGAGAUACUUUUGCUUUGGAGUCAUUGGCUUGCAGAGUUACCCCAAGGAAUAAAGAACACUGAAUGACUCGAGAGGUUUCGUUGGGAAAGCAUUAUUUUUUUUUUUUGGAGAUGAAGAAAGGUUCUGUAUGUAUGCCUUGCUAUGGAGGGUGAAGGUGGACAGUUAUAAGAAGUUCCUUAAUACCUGUAGAGGUACUCUUCUUUCACUCGUGUCAGUAACCAAUGCGUGAUUGAUCAGUAUGGCUUUAUGUGCUUUCUUCUUUAUCAGAAAUCUUCGACGAAUUGUCCGUAAUUUCCGCCAAGCUGAGUGUGCAUGUGACAUGUGUUGACGCGGCUGAAAAAACUGGCGCCUCUUCGAUAACUGGGAUCGGCGCUUCGACAAAUUACCCGUGAUUUCCGCAAAGCUGAGUUUGCGUGUGAUGGGUGCUGACGUGUCUGGAAAAGACUGGCGUCUCUUCGAUAUCUGGGAUCGGCGCUUCGACAAAUUACCCGUGAUUUCCGCAAAGCUGAGUUUGCGUGUGAUGAGUGUUGACGCGUCUGGAAAAAGCAAGAUGCCUCUUCGAUUUCUGAGCUUGCCUCUUCGAUUUUUGAAUUGGCCUCUUCGAAUUCUGAGCUCGCCUCUUCGAUCUUUGAAAUCCUGUUAAGUGCUGAUUUUUAUAGAGGCACGCAGUUCGUUUCAAAGCACACUUGAAUUUUCUCUUGUAGAAACUCCAUUCUUGCACUUCUAAGAUCUUGACUUGUCUGACCUCUUCUUUCUUCAACACCUUUGAAAAUGUCUGGACCCUCCGACCGUUGUUUUGAUUUGAACCUUGGUGAAGAGGCAGUCCCGCCUUCUCCUGACAACAUAUGACGCCCAUCCUUCAUAUCCCCUACUAGUCUUCUUACCGUUGGGGAUUCGGUGAUGAAGAAUGAUAUGACCGCUGCGGUGGUGGCCCGGAACCUUGUCACUCCUAAAGAUAACAGACUACUUUCCAGGCGGUCUGAUGAGUUGGCUGUUAAAGAGUCUCUGGCUCUUAGUGUGCAGUGUGCGGGUUCUGUGUCCAACAUGGCCCAACGCCUAUUUGCUCGAACCCGUCAAAUUGAAUCAUUGGCGGCUGAAGUGAUGAGUCUCAAACAGGAGAUUAGAGGGCUUAAGCAUGAGAAUAAACAGUUGCACAAGCUCGCACACAACUAUGCCACAAACAUGAAGAGGAAAAUUGACCAGAUGCAGGAAUCUGAUGGUCAGAUUUUACUUGAUCAUCGGAGGUUUGUGGGUUUGUUCCAACAACAUUUGCCUUCGUCUUCUGGGGCUGUACCGCGUAGUGAAGCUCCGAAUGAUCAACCUCCGAUACCUCUUCUUCUUGGAGUUCCACCAAGUGGUGUGACUUCAAACAGUCAACCUUCUAUUUGCUUGGAUGGUCGUGUUACUUGAUGGAACUGCGGCUGUGCUCUUCAGCUGCUUGAUUCUCUCUCUAAAAUUACCCACUCAUCGUUGAAGCUUCAAUUUCCAUUAAAAAUUUUCACUGUUGAGGUAAACUCUCUGCUAAAAGCUUCUAAUUCAUCCUUUAUUUCUUAUUUCAUCUGGGCAAAUUUGUUGAUUAGGGUUAGGUUGGGGUCUGUUUGGUUGCUGGAAAAUUUGGGAAAGAAAAUGGAGUCUUGGGAUUAGGAUUUAGGACCUUCAUAACUUGAUUGAUUAUGAAUUUGUUUGUUUAUCUCUUAAUUAGUAUUCAAAUUUAGUGCAUAUAAGUCCCUUUCUUAAGAGGGAUCUAUUUUGAUAAGAAACAAGACCUUACAACUGUUGCAUUUUUCGUUUUCUUGAUUGUAAAGUCUCUGUACCAUGUCACGUAUAUUAAUAGGAUGCUUAGGUAAUUGCAGGAGAAGUUAUGCAUGCAUUCUUUUGGCAAUCCUUUCCCAGAACCUGUAUUGAUCCUGAUAUGAGUCUAACUCUGCCUUGGUCAUUGCUCAACAUGGAAACGUAAUGAAAUAUCUUCUUUAUAAGCGUUUCUAGGCUCUAGCCUCUCUUUUUGAGCAAACUUAUCUAAUGUAUAACAAAGCAUGUUCUACUAGAGCUCAAAUCAAACAAAGAGAGGGAAAAUCAAAAUACACCAGAAAUAAAAAAAAAUAAAAAAUAAAAACUUAAUUUAUUAAGAUGUAUGGAGGAAAGAUUUUAGUCAUUUAAAUUUGGGUUAAAUUAAUGAUGUUAUGUAGUGAUUCUAAUUUGAUGCUUGCUUGCCCUGCAAUCAACUCAGUGCUUAAGGAUUAUGUAUGUUUCCCACUUCCCAGGUCUAAUUUGAUCGCAUGCAUGUAACAACAGUUAAAUUGGGGGACUGGACAAUUAACUAAUCAUGAUCAUGUAUGAAUAUGGUCUCUGCAAGCUCAUUACUGUUAUGGGAAACCACCUAAAUAAUCAAUUCCUUGCUUUCUACGUACAAUGUUAUCAAAUUCUAAUUUCAAAUUUUCUGAUUUUGGGGUGGAGGGAGUGCUAAUAUAGUAAUUUUCAGGUAUUUUGGUUCUUUGCGGGAUUUUUUUUGGGUAACUUUGUGAUUUGUAGUUGAUUUUAGGAAUUGUUUAUGGGUUUGGUUUGAAUGCACUGACAGAAGUUAUUGUUUCUGUUAAUGCAUAUGAAAUAGGGUUUCUGCUUUCUAGGAUGUUUCUGGUCUUUAGAAAUUGCUUGAUUUGGUAUUGUCAAAUGGUAUAUGAAUUUCCACGUUCACUUUGACAGUAUGUCGUAGUAGUUUAAUUGGUGCGAUAGAAGUUGAGGUGUUGACAUGCAAUGAGACACAUGUAGUUUUCCUUGAUUUCGCAGGAUAAAGUUUUAGUUUGAUUUAGGCUAUAAAUGAUAACCAAAUUAAGUUGAAUGAGUUGUCACAAUUAGAGACGGCUGAUGGCAUUUUGAACUGCUCAGAUACAACUGAAGUGGAGAAGGAUAGCUCAGUGGCUUCCUAAGGUGCAAUGCUACUUCAGAAUGCUUUAGUUCAGAAGCCGGCAGAAUCGAAUGACAAUCUUGGACCAAGAAAGAAAUCAUUAUGUGAUAUUGGGAACCUACUGGUAUGCUUCAUUAUCCUUUUUGAACCCUGCUUUAUUUUUCUUAAAGAACUAAAAUAUUUUUUAGUGAGGACUAUGUUCUCCACUCUAAUAAUUUUCUUACCCUUAUAUGGGACUGUUUGCAUUUCAGAACUGUGUUUUUAAGGUACUUAUGACUUCUAAUUGCCAUUUUGCAUUCAAAAUAUACUCUAUUGCUUGCUGGGGUUUAUCCCUUGGAGCAUUUCAUUACGUUUCUCCUUACUGUCUAACUGAAAAUUUUUAAACCCUAUAUAGUUGAAUGCAGACACUGCAAAACCUGGCUCUAAGAACUGUAGAUGCUGAAGACAAAAAAGAACCAGAGGAUGCUUUGCAAGCAGAAGGUUAAGAUAAAUUUUUCGUUAUGAAAGAGAACAUUGUUCUUCAUUUGCAUACGGUUUUUACUACAAAUUUAAUUUAUAUGCUUGAAACUUACGCUGUCAUAUCAUAGUUCAAAACGAAUAUAUUUGUGUUAUUGGAUAAGCAUUGGCCAAUUGGAAGGCUAUUGACUUUUCUUAUAAAGAAAUCAGUCAUCUUCUCAUUUUCGAUGUUGAAGAGUUGGUUGCGUUUUAAUAUUUAUAGGCCAGGACGAAAGAAAAAAGAUUAGGCUAAUAGUUUAUGAGCCCCUAAAAUUUGUAGUGACCUAUUGGAAAUUAUAUAAUAUUUUAGAUGUCUAAAGGUUAACGUGCCAAGUCAUUAUGCUGGUACUAUUCCGUUUUAGUAUUUGUUGGAUUAGAAUGUACUCAUUGUUUUAAGUGAGUAAUAAUUUUGACUCCUAAUAAAUAUUUAGAUUGAUAAAUCAAAGGGUAGGGAGGGAUAGUCGGUGAAGCUCUUGGUUUGGGUGCUUUAACAUGCUGUUGUGUAUUUUACUGUUUUAUUAGAUUUGGUGCUUCAUAUGCAAAUAAUGUAUUUCUGAAUCGGAUUUCCUAUUUUUAAGAGAAUGGUACUCUCUCUGCUUCCUCCUUGCAUAUUGAUAAUUAUAUAUUUGUGUGUGUAUGUGUAACUAUGUAUACAUCAUUUUUUUGUUGUUGUACAUGUUAUACAAAUGCAAAUAUGAUGUUAUAUCCACCCGCCGCCCCCCGCGGAGGUGCUGAAACUCACAUAUCCUAUAGGAUGCAUAUGUUAUUUUGUUUUAUUGAACUGGACUAACAAAAUUUGGAGUUUCUACUUAUUUGAUUUGGAUAUGGAGUAAAUUUGCUCCUCUGUUAAUGAGUUCAUGUUCCCUUUCUUAUUUCAGGUAUUGAGUAUAUCCCUUUCUGCCUUGGGAUCUUUGAAGUGGCUUCAUAAUAAUAAGCCUAAGACGCAGGUUCUUAUAAUAUACAUGUGUAGGAAUUGUUCAAACCAUCCAUCUAUCAUAAGGUCAGCUCCUUAGCUUCCAUUUGUUCUACUGCUACUUGAAAAAUUAUGCGCUUUUAACAUUGGUCCAUUGCUAUGACUAUGACAUUGAUUCUCUUUUGACUGGUUACCAUAUCGUGUUGUAAUCAAUUGACAGUCUCUGUGAUUAAGUUGCAACUUGAAUGUUUUCUUGCCUACUUCUAACUUUGGGUGUUUUAUUCUGCAACACUGUUAUUCGGAUGACUAUGAUCAUGUAAGCAUCAAUAUUCACACUCUUUGUCUCUGUAUGGCAUAGAAUGUUGGACGGUGAAGCAUCAACACGUAGGUGUGGUGGAGAUGAGGAUGCUUCAUCGGAUGUGUGGGUACACGAGAAAGGAUAAGAUUAGGAAUGAGGAUAUCCGAGGUAAAGUAGGAGUAGCUGAAAUUGAAGGAAAGAGGAGAGAAAAUCGGUUACGGUGGUUUGGACAUGUGCAAAGAAGGUCUACUGACGCUCCGGUUCGAAGUGACCACGGGACAGAGGUUCAGGGCCGAAGGGGUAGAGGAAGACCUAGGAAAACUUUGGAAGAGACCCUAAGAAAAGACUUAGAGUACUUGGAUCUAACGGAGGACAUGACACAAAACCGAGCGCAAUGGCGUUCUAGGAUUCAUAUAGCCGACCCCACUUAAUAGGAAAAGGCUUUGUUGUUGUUGUUGUAUUAGGAGCUUCAGCUGGUAGGCUCACUGCAGGUGAUGCUUGGGAGUGACGCUGUAAUCCAGUAAUUACAUUUUGUAGGAUUUAUUAUCAACUGAUAGGUAGAUGAUAUAGAAUUUAUUAAGGUAUUUUAGUUCUAUACACACAAGAGACAAAAAACAAAAAAACAAAAAAAAAAAUGAUUGUGAAAGUAACUUUCUUUUUCAUUAUUGAAAGUGCAUUACAACUAUCAGAGUUAUAUUUUAUUCAAUUAUUCUUAUAGUUUUAGGUGGUGAUUAAGUUUAUGGUACGUAAUAUUCUUAUUAGUUUUUUGUUGUUAUAUUUUAUUCAAAUAAUAUCUUUAGUCGUAUUUUAUUCAAACAUUACCAGAACAUUUUCGAUUGCAGACUCGGAUUUCUAAGAGCCCACUUUCCCAAACGGAGCUUAAGUUCAACCACAGUGCUAUUUCUUUUCCUGUUCUAUAUCAAGUAGUUUUUAUUUAUGAACAAACAAUAUUUUUUACACUAAAGAAGAGAGGGUGAACUUAGCCUCAUAAUGGGCUAGCAAUAAUGAUGUCCAAAUUUGCCUUUGGCGAUAAUCGAAUUUAAGAUAUCUCUUUUUCACAAUUAUUAUUUACUAAAAUGGUGAGGAAAUCCUUCCAUUAUACUGUCUAUAUUCAGUUAUAAUACUUUCAUUUGCAUACAAUUGAUUCCAACCCAAAUAGGAUAUUAGUUGACUUAGAAACGAUUCUAAUGAUUCUCCUGUUUUAUCUAAUUAUUGUCCUAUGAAUUGUAUUCUUCUGUUAAAUAAUGAUUAAUUAGAAUGUUUAGAAAAAAAAAAACUCAGGCAUUGCAAUGUUUGAAAUGAUAAUAUAAAUCCAAUUUGGCCAUUUGCUAGUCAGAGAACCUAAUUUGGGAAGUAAGUUUUAAAGUUUCAAUAGUUUCGUUGUGUGUAAUUUUUUGUGCUUUGCCUACCGGGAAUCUAAUAACCAAAGGUUUGCUUAUGUUUCUCAAAUGGUUUUUAACUAUAUGUUUUGUUUUUUUACUAUUUUCAGAUGAUAUAAAUGAUCAGUUCUAUAAUGUUGUUAAGAAUAAAGGAUCUAAUAUAUUUGAUUUGUUGUCUACAAAAAACCAAGUAACUUGAUAGCACAAAGUUACUAAGUCAGUUACCUGCUUUGCGAUGGCUUCUUUCUCCCUUCUUGAUUGCCAGGUGCGGAUCCAUGCAUUGUACUUACAUUUUUGCAAUUUAAUUAUCCUCUUUGAAAUUUCUGUCAAGAUAUUCAUUUUCCUGCAUUUUAAAGUUGAAAAGUGUAGUUUUUAGAGUGAACAUAAUGGAACAAUCGAAUCAACUUUCCUUUUCCAAAGACCAGCCCCAACUUUGUUGAUCAAUUUCGUUCUCAAUUUUAAUUAGUUAUCUACUUGAAUCCAUUUUUCUAAUCUUAAUUAGUUCAUGCAAUUAGCGAUCUUUCAUGUUUAAAUAUGCUAAAUACUUUAGAUUUGAAAUUUUGUGUGUUGAAUAUCAAGAUAGAACAUUUCUCUAAAACACCAUCUAUCCAUUUAUGCAUCUGUUUCCAACUUUCUAUUAUUCGUUUUAUUGUUCCUCCUUUUUUCUAAUAUGUAGUUGUUUUCAUUUAUCUGUUAUAAAUUGGAAAAAUUGAAGUUAAUGUGAACAAAUGACAAUUGGAUUUGUUAAAAGGAUAGAUUGCAUUGAAAUGUGGCUGUAAUGAUCAUCGAAUUCCCUCAUUUGGGUAAUAUUGAAUCGUAUCGAGUUCUGCAUGUGUUGGGCUUUCUGGCUAUCCUCUGUUUGGAUGCUCAGAAAGUUUGGUGGGAAUUGGAAAUUCAGUUUGGAAAUGAGAAUUUGGAGUUGUUUUCUAUGUCGGUUAUGGGAUUGACAAUUUUCGGCUUAGUUUUGGUUAAGAAAGAAUUAGACUGUUACUUAUUGAGUUAGGAGGAUUGCGGUGUUGAAAAUUAAGAAGGGUUAGUGCUAUUGUAAUUGCACUUGCAUUUGUUUUGAACCUAAUCAAUAUUUAGCCUUUUUCUGUACUGAGAUCCGAUGACUUGAGAGAAAAGGAUCCAUUUAUUAAAAUUAACAACGCAAUGGUGGUGGGAAUAAGCGUUCUCAGGUAACUAUGGAUGUGAUAUGAAUUAGGUGGAUGAUGUUGAAGCAUCAGUCAAUAAAAAACAAAUAGGAUCUUAGAUAUUUCACAUUAAUCCAUACAUUAGUGCUUGAAAGAUUAGCUGGUGAAACAAGACCAACAUUUUUUUUGCUUUUUUGUUUAGCUGUUAAAACACGUGAUUGGCCUGCAUGACAUAUAUUUUACCAUCUUAACUUGAAGGGCAAUAUAAGUGUUAAAUGCAUGUUGCUUCUGUAUCUUAGGAAACAGAGCAUUUUUUUGCAACUGUAUCUUUUGUAAUCAGCUCGGUUGAAUAUAUAUAAAAGCCAAAUUGCUCAUCUUACCGACACUUUUCACUCAUCUAUCCCUUUUGUUCGUUCAUGAUUAUGUUGAAUUUUUUUUCAGAUUAAAUGUCUUAUUCGUGUGGUUAAGGCUGGUGCAUUCAAGUCCUGCAGCAACGCGCGAGCAUUUUUGCUAGUAAAAACUAAAAUAGUUGCUCUACAAGUUUUCAGUUUUCAAAAAAGCAAAAACAAAACCUGGAAGGCUGAAAACGAAAUGGAAUAACUUGAGAAUUAAUUUACUGCAGCCGAAUGUAGUACUUAUUGCAUCACUUUGUGUAAACUAGCAUAUUUUUUUUCAGAUUGUAUACUUAGUAGCAGUAGGAUUCUGCAAUUGGCCUACACAUCAAUCAAACUUUAGUCACCAUGUACUUUGACCUGGUCCUGGGAACUUAUAUGUACAAGGAUGCUUUAUCGUGACCAGUAAUGUAGGGUCAUCUCCAACCGAUGGCUGGCCAGAUAGCUCGUUUGACACACCCCGUCCCGAAGGAGGGCAUGCUGGCCGUCACGUGAGAGUGACGUAACCAUUUGCACAGUACGGAAGCUUUAAGAUACAAUUUAUAAGUUGAUACACCCGAAGGUGAGUCCUAAUUUUGUCCAAUCUGUCAGAACACCGUCGAAUUCCUCGUAGUCACCACACCUUUGUGAUUCCUGAACCUGGAGGGGCGCAAAACCAAAAUUGAGUGGGUCAGUAAAACAAUUCUUUUCCAAAUCCAAACAUUUCUCAAAACGUUGUAACCCCUCUCCGUAAAACCUGUAUACUUUCCCAGAAAUGUAAAAUAUAAAUAUACAUAUAUAUUCUCAAUACUUUAAUUCAUUAACUCAACAUUUUUUCUUUAUCAAUCAUGCCAUGCCAUGUCUAAUUCAACAGUUAAGUAUGGAUGCAUCAACAAUAAUCAUAUCAGGUGCAAGAAAGUAAUCAACCGGAGGCCCUCUAAUAGCCCUGUACGGUUGAACCUAGAGCUCAAAAUCUAUCACUAUCACUCUACCGGAGUCACCUCUGUGACCCGUCCGGCCUUCUGCACACAAGUUACGCUCUAGUGCUUUCUCAUCAAUCAUCUGUGCACAUAAUCUAAGGUCACCCACCAGUCGAAAUCUCACUAACACUCUUCGACUGGCCCGUCGCACCCACUCCGCGUGGACUGUACGACCAGCAUCUACUUGGAUCCAAGGCGAGCGUGCGAUGCGGUGAAUACUAUAAGCACUAAACCAUGGUGCAGGAUUUGAGCUCAAUAUAUAUCAACAUCAUCAUAACAGUAAUUAAAUACUCACCUGAUACUCACCUGUGCGUCCGCCGCACCAUUCAUUCAUAUGCAUCAUAUCUCAAUUCAUACUUUUCAUAUCAUUUCAUGCAUGGCAAUUCGAUUCACAUUUCUAUAUACUUUUCAUAUACUUUCAUGCAUGACAUUUCAACUAAUAUAUCUCAUAUACUUUUAUACAUUUUCAUUAAAAGCAUAAUUUCAUGCAUUUUCAAUUUCUAGGAAACGGCAAGUAUAUAUGUAUACGGAAAACAAAACUGCCCACUCACCUGGAGUUCGUCCAACAACUCCCUAGCACCACACAUCAAGGCGUCACGACGAUCGCCGCCUAGAAUAGUAAUCAAAUCCAACCUCAGAAUUCAUAUCGAUAGAAUAUAACUUAUAUAAAAUACGUCACUACGUAGAUCGAUCCGGAAGAUCUGCCACUCAGAUUUUAAAUCCAUAACUUCCAGAGGUCCACAAUAUAUCUCUAGGAUAACAUCCUAAAAUUUCAUUACCAUCCAACGGUCGGAUCUCCGUCAAUUUCCAAAACUAAGUGACGGUUAACAUUCUAUAUUAUGGACUUACAACUCCAAUUUCGGAAGAUCCGCAAAUCGGAUUCCCAAUCUGUAAGUUCCUAUAAUCCUCAAAUAUUACGUAUUACAACGUAUCAAAGUUUGGUGAUGAUCCAACGGUCGGAUCAUCAAUUCAUAUUUUCACUUAAAUGCAAAAACUAUAAAACGUUAUUUGAACACCUAACCAACAAUCCUUAAUAACUUUCUCAUACGGUGCUCAAAUUGGGUAUACGAAUAUACCACAGUGAUCUACUCGACGUCACGGACGUCGACAUAUUUUUCAAAUAAUUUUUUACUGUAGCACGCGCCCCCACGCGCCAAGGAAGGCACGGACCUACGCGCCCCCACGCGCACCUUCUUCUUCCUUGGGUCGCCGGACUGGUUUUUCCGGCGGCCGUUUUUCAAAUUGCCAUAACUUUGUCAUUUCUCAACGAAAUCAAGUGAUUCCAAAACGAAAGUUGUAGCCCUUGAAGAUACAAAGAGAAUGGUACCUUGCACAACACCUAGUUCGCCGUGGUUUGGCCGGAAACUGCCUCGAAAGCCUCGGAGGUCGCCGGAAACUGGGUAUUUUUCAAAUGAGUAUAACUUCUUCAAUACUCAACGAAAUUGAGUGAAACAAAAAGGAAAGUUGUAGUACUUGACGAGACGAAGAGAUGGAUACCUACCUCGACUCCUAACUCGCCGGGGAUUCGCCGGAAAAAUCCUCGAAAGCUCCGGCCAAACUUUGAACUUGUCGAUCUCCGUGUUCUUACGUCCAAAAACUUCCAACGAAGCACUCCGAGCUUCCUUGGGACCUCACUAAGCUCGCUGUGAUCUUGUUUUAGCCUAAAUCGUAACCAUUUAAAAGAUCAUGAACAGUGCUCUUCCACGGGGAGUUUAGAAUCUAGGUUUUCCGAAGUAAAACUUACCUGAAAUUGGUGUCUACGUGAUCGUUGAGGUUCCAGGAGUUCAAUGGUGGUCUUAACUCCGUCGUUGGUAUAGAAGUUUAGUGUGGUUUUGGAGCUUGUCCGUGUGAGUUCGAAGGAGAGGGAGAGAGAACUGAGAGUUGCGUGAGGGAGGAGAGAGAGAGGGACAAGGUACGGGAAUUGGGGAAGGUUUUGAGGGAUGUGGGGAUCCCACGUGUCCAACUCAAUCCAAAUUGUUAAAUUUUCACCCCUUAGUCCCGUUUAAGGGCAUUUUCGUCUUUUCACGUCCUCGGAAUUAAAAUUCCGGGACGGGCUGUGACAAUCUUCCCUCCUUAUAGAAUUUCGUCCCCGAAAUUCCAGCAACCAACUAAAUCAACCAUACUCCAACAAUAGCUUCGGGUAAAUCUGUCUCAUCCGAUUCUCUUUCUCCCACAUAAUUUUCUACUGAAUGAUUCAUUCACAAAGCUUUUACUACUUACUCUGUCUUAAUUCUCAGGACCUUCUUUUUCCAAUCCAAAGUCGUCAUUGGUUCCUUAUCAAGUCGAAUCCAAUUUAAUUCUCAAUAGUUGCACCAGAAUCUCUUGUGACGAAUCUGCCACCUAGUGACAACGUAUCGAACCCAAAAUACAUUAAGUACCUUAGCCAACUCUGAAGACAUCACCACUUGUAUGCAACUUUAUUGAUUCCUUUAGUGAUAAAAAAAUGGUCUGAUGUGUCUAAAUCUUAUUUUGUCUCCUUUCCAACCCGAAUUAUACUUUUCUAUGGUGAACACUUCGAAAAUAUAAAACCAUUUGUCUUAUACACUCGAUUAGUGGCAUAUCCCUCUGUUAAUCUCUUUUGCCAUUCCUGGUUACUUUCAAGUUAACUUAAUCACCUGAAUACUUUGAGGAGACUCAUCCAUAGUCUCAGGGCCUACAAAAACUCUUUCGUGAUCAAAUCUUUUUCUAUUCAGAAGCAUUUCAUUCACACGACACGCUUCAGGGACCCUAUGGCGUUAUUUCGGAAACUGCGCACCCAACAUACUUAAGAAACUCAGCAGUUCCGUAAUCCAAUUCUCUUUUCCAUAAAACAAAUAAGUACUGUUACUCAACACUGGAGUAAAUGUACUAACUUGGUACAUUGACCAAUUAUCACUUCAAAUUCGAUCAUAACCAUCCUAUGUACAAGGAAACUUGUACACAUAAUCCAAAGUAAUAUCUUUCCAUUUCCACUGCGAAACAGAAAAUAGUUAUCCCAAUCCAAAGGUUUAUCUUUUUCUGCCUCAAUCUGCUGACCAAAUAAAACUGUCGAAUGGUAUGAUAAAUCUUAUUACUUUUGGAAUAUUACAGAAGUUGAACAGUGAACUUCGUCCAAUUUUUGCUUGCUUCAAAUCCUCAGCAUUAGGCACAUACUUUUUGUUUUCUUGUAUCCACAUACCAUUUGAUUCACGAAUCAUGUACUCAUUCUUUUUCCCUUCUUUCUCUGCCUUGGUUAAUUCUUAAAUUUCCUCGUCAAACAUUUAAGUUUCGAGUACGACCUUACCAAACAGGCCUAACUUGAAAUUUAACAAAUAUAACUUCUUCUCGAUCUUCCAUUCUUAAUUUUUCUUCCGUUGGUUUUCAAUCCACAAGAUGAUACUCUUGGCAAACGUGCCAGACAUUAAUCUUACUGUAGUCUUCUCACCAAGUGCUUCAGCUAGAACAAACUUUACGAUCACCCUGAUCGUACAAUCAUGUUCAUUAAGCAAUACAAUUCACUUUCGCUGCCUCAUAUCAAAAUCCUUCCAAGUAAUGGAUAUUGAAGACUUUUUGGAUUCGUAAAAAAAAUCUUGCAUUCUUACUAAAAUAUAAUGUCUCCAUAACUUCACAGCAAGGAUGGUAAUCGUGACUUCCAAAUCACCAGUAGGGUAAUUCAUCUUAUGAGGUUCCAUUUGUCGUGAAACGUAUGCAAUCACCCUAACAUUUGCAUUAAUACAUAUCCAAGAACAUUUAAUGUAACAUCACCAUAUACCGAUAAUUAUCGCUAUCUUCUGGGAAUAUUAAAAUACGUGCAUGAGUGAGGAAAUACUUCAGUUGUUGAAUCCUUUGCUCACAAUUUCCUUCCCACUCAUACAUAACCUCUUUUCUCAACAGUCUCGUCAAUGACAAAGCAAUGACUGAAAAAUCUUUCACAACCAUCCAAGAUAGCCUGGUAAGUUAAGAAAUUCCAAAUCUCAAUUACGACUCGUGGUUGUUCCAAUUCCUCAAUUUCUACUAUCUUUUAAGAAUUCAUUUGAAUACCUUAAGCAGAUAUACAAAUCUCAGAAUGCCACCUGAUUCAUCUAACUUUAGCAUUUGCUACUUAGCAUACAACCAACGUUCUCUCAAUCUUUGCUUCACCAACUUAAUAUGUUUACAUGCUUUGCUCUGGCUCAGAAUAUGCCAGAAUAUCUUCAAUGAAAAUGAUAUCAAGGCAUUAUUGGAAUACUUCAUCCAUCAACUCAUAAAACAGCAUGAGUAUCCAUAUAGCAUCACCAAACUUCAUCAAGACUAUAACGAGUCCAGAAAAACAAUCUUAGGAACAACGUUACUCAUAAUCUUCAAUUGAUAAUAAACAGACCUCAAGUCAAUCUUUGAAAAUAUACAAGCACCUUUGAACUGAUCAAAGGAGCGUCAAUACACCACAAUGGAUAACGGUUCUCAUUCGUUACCCGAUUCCAUUAUCUAUAAUCAAUGAACAAUCUCUAAGUCCAUUUCCUUUCUCACCAACAAACUGGUGCUCCUCAACAGUGUUGUACUAUGUUGAAUAAAACUUUUAUCAACCAAUUCUCUCAACUGAAUUUCCAAUUCCCUUAACUCAUCAUGAACCAAUCUUUAACAUAAAUUUAUACCCGGCAACAAAUCAAUAAUGAACCUCAUAUCUCUGCCUGAAGACAAUCCAGGUAUACUUUCAGGGAAGACAUCAAGAAAAGUCUAACCCCUUUUUCAUUUUUCACACUUCUCCGAGCAACAUCCUUUAGUACCACAUGAACUAAGUAUUUUUUUUUGACAUCCUUUCGAAAACAAUCUCUUUGCUCUCACAGCAUAAAUAACGGCCUGACUCAAUCCACUUUGCAUACUUACAAAAAUAAUCUCUGGUCAUCCAGAUCGAUGGAAAGUACUGGUUUCCCGUAACAUUCCAUCUAGUCACAACUAUAAACAAUCACUCUAAUGGAAUAAAAUUAAUUGACCCAAUACAUACUUUAUCAUUACUGAACAUUCUAAAUAAGUACAACACUAACAUAAAAUAAUUUACCGGGUUGCUUGCUUAACGAAUCCACGAAUAAGUUAUUAAUAUUACGGUCUGCAGCCCGCAAUACUGAUAAAUCAUUGUUGUCUCGAUAAGUAAGAAACCACUCUCAAAGAUAUAACAUUACUAUUUUGUCACUCAAUGAAAAAUACUUACACUCGUCUCAACUACAUUUAUUUACUACUCUCAAGGUAAUAACAUACAUAAUAAGAAAUAUAUCAGCCGAAGUCAACUAGAAUGACCAAUACGACUGAUUCAACUCUUAUCUCAAUAAUACGUCGGCCGGAUCCACUCCGCGUGGUCGGUACGGCCGAGCCUAUAACUCACCAAUUUCUCAUGUGUCAAUCGAAUCCACUUCUCAUGGUCUGUACGGCUGAACAUAUAACUCAUCAAAUCUCUCCGUACUCACGGUCAAUCCGACCAAACUACUAAAUCCAUAACUCUGCUGAAUCAACACUAUGAUAUCAUGGAAAAUUGUUGAGUACAACUGAUUCUAGGGACGAUUCACAAUUCUGUGUCCCCUCUGUUCACAUAAACACAUUCAUUAAUUUCACAUUUCCCAAAGUGUUAAUUUUUGUACCUGCUGCACAAGGUACAUUUCCUUUACUCGAGACACCUUGUCUCAAAUAUCUGGGAUUACCAGUAUAUCCAUCACUUUUACUCUGACCAGCGACAAUAAAACCUCAGCUGGAAGAAUUAAUUCUAGCUUCACUUCUUUUUAAACUCUGAAUCCUUCGAUAUUCUUGAUAUGACGAAUCAUUAACUUUAUCGUCUUCUUUUGAUUCCCAUUCAUUUCUUAUUCUUCUUUAUUCUCAUUGAUCAUGUUCUCAGAGUCCUCAAGGCUCAACAACAUCUUGUAUACUCCUGGUAAGAAGUACAAUGGAUAGUGGUCACCCAAAAUACCACUUCCCUUUUUGCCACCCAGCUUAAAACAAUAUAACACCUCCACCAAAUUAACAACAAUAUCUGGAUGGAACGAGGCAAGUCUGAAAACUUUCUAUAAUAUUCAUUUAUCGUCAACUUCCUUAAUUCACAUUUGCAAACUCUUGCUUACUACCAUCGAUAAAUGCCGGAGGGAUAAACUUUUCCUUAAACAAUUUUAAAUCGGCUGUUCCUCCGAUGACAACAAAUCAUACUCCUGUUUCCACCAGGAUACAAAUUCAUACCCAAAACCAGGUAGUCGUCUCGACCCCCCUGUCAGAAGGAAGAUUCCUUUGACUUGCAUAAUCUGAAACAUCUUUUCCAAAUGGUUAAACCGUUACUUCGCUCCCUCAGGUUCAUCAUUUCAUAAGGUGAUUCAAAUUCGACUCAUAACCCGUCUUAAAAUGUCCAUUUUUAUAAUAUACUGAAUCACCAUAAUAAUAGUUUUCCCUAAACCGCUAUAUUAGGGAGACUAAAUUCCUCUAACUAAGUGGCUUGCUACGAGGCGGUGUAGUUCUGACAGAAUUCACUAGAACUUCUCAAGAUGUCCAAGAUUGCAACCAUGCUCUGAUACCAACUGACACACCCCGUCCCGAAGGAGGGCAUGCUGGCCGUCACGUGAGAGUGACGUAACCAUUUGCACAGUACGGAAGCUUUAAGAUACAAUUUAUAAGUUGAUACACCCGAAGGUGAGUCCUAAUUUUGUCCAAUCUGUCAGAACACCGUCGAAUUCCUCGUAGUCACCACACCUUUGUGAUUCCUGAACCUGGAGGGGCGCAAAACCAAAAUUGAGUGGGUCAGUAAAACAAUUCUUUUCCAAAUCCAAACAUUUCUCAAAACGUUGUAACCCCUCUCCGUAAAACCUGUAUACUUUCCCCAGAAAUGUAAAAUAUAAAUAUACAUAUAUAUUCUCAAUACUUUAAUUCAUUAACUCAACAUUUUUUCUUUAUCAAUCAUGCCAUGCCAUGUCUAAUUCAACAGUUAAGUAUGGAUGCAUCAACAAUAAUCAUAUCAGGUGCAAGAAAGUAAUCAACCGGAGGCCCUCUAAUAGCCCUGUACGGUUGAACCUAGAGCUCAAAAUCUAUCACUAUCACUCUACCGGAGUCACCUCUGUGACCCGUCCGGCCUUCUGCACACAAGUUACGCUCUAGUGCUUUCUCAUCAAUCAUCUGUGCACAUAAUCUAAGGUCACCCACCAGUCGAAAUCUCACUAACACUCUUCGACUGGCCCGUCGCAACCCACUCCGCGUGGACUGUACGACCAGCAUCUACUUGGAUCCAAGGCGAGCGUGCGAUGCGGUGAAUACUAUAAGCACUAAACCAUGGUGCAGGAUUUGAGCUCAAUAUAUAUCAACAUCAUCAUAACAGUAAUUAAAUACUCACCUGAUACUCACCUGUGCGUCCGCCGCACCAUUCAUUCAUAUGCAUCAUAUCUCAAUUCAUACUUUUCAUAUCAUUUCAUGCAUGGCAAUUCGAUUCACAUUUCUAUAUACUUUUCAUAUACUUUUCAUGCAUGACAUUUCAACUAAUAUAUCUCAUAUACUUUUAUACAUUUUCAUUAAAAAGCAUAAUUUCAUGCAUUUUCAAUUUCUAGGAAACGGCAAGUAUAUAUGUAUACGGAAAACAAAACUGCCCACUCACCUGGAGUUCGUCCAACAACUCCCUAGCACCACACAUCAAGGCGUCACGACGAUCGCCGCCUAGAAUAGUAAUCAAAUCCAACCUCAGAAUUCAUAUCGAUAGAAUAUAACUUAUAUAAAAUACGUCACUACGUAGAUCGAUCCGGAAGAUCUGCCACUCAGAUUUUAAAUCCAUAACUUCCAGAGGUCCACAAUAUAUCUCUAGGAUAACAUCCUAAAAUUUCAUUACCAUCCAACGGUCGGAUCUCCGUCAAUUUCCAAAACUAAGUGACGGUUAACAUUCUAUAUUAUGGACUUACAACUCCAAUUUCGGAAGAUCCGCAAAUCGGAUUCCCAAUCUGUAAGUUCCUAUAAUCCUCAAAUAUUACGUAUUACAACGUAUCAAAGUUUGGUGAUGAUCCAACGGUCGGAUCAUCAAUUCAUAUUUUCACUUAAAUGCAAAAACUAUAAAACGUUAUUUGAACACCUAACCAACAAUCCUUAAUAACUUUCUCAUACGGUGCUCAAUUGGGUAUACGAAUAUACCACAGUGAUCUACUCGACGUCACGGACGUCGACAUAUUUUUCAAAUAAUUUUUUACUGUAGCACGCGCCCCCACGCGCCAAGGAAGGCACGGACCUACGCGCCCCCACGCGCACCUUCUUCUUCCUUGGGUCGCCGGACUGGUUUUUCCGGCGGCCGUUUUUCAAAUUGCCAUAACUUUGUCAUUUCUCAACGAAAUCAAGUGAUUCCAAAACGAAAGUUGUAGCCCUUGAAGAUACAAAGAGAAUGGUACCUUGCACAACACCUAGUUCGCCGUGGUUUGGCCGGAAACUGCCUCGAAAGCCUCGGAGGUCGCCGGAAACUGGGUAUUUUUCAAAUGAGUAUAACUUCUUCAAUACUCAACGAAAUUGAGUGAAACAAAAAGGAAAGUUGUAGUACUUGACGAGACGAAGAGAUGGAUACCUACCUCGACUCCUAACUCGCCGGGGAUUCGCCGGAAAAAUCCUCGAAAGCUCCGGCCAAACUUUGAACUUGUCGAUCUCCGUGUUCUUACGUCCAAAAACUUCCAACGAAGCACUCCGAGCUUCCUUGGGACCUCACUAAGCUCGCUGUGAUCUUGUUUUAGCCUAAAUCGUAACCAUUUAAAAGAUCAUGAACAGUGCUCUUCCACGGGGAGUUUAGAAUCUAGGUUUUCCGAAGUAAAACUUACCUGAAAUUGGUGUCUACGUGAUCGUUGAGGUUCCAGGAGUUCAAUGGUGGUCUUAACUCCGUCGUUGGUAUAGAAGUUUAGGGUGGUUUUGGAGCUUGUCCGUGUGAGUUCGAAGGAGAGGGAGAGAGAACUGAGAGUUUCGUGAGGGAGGAGAGAGAGAGGGACAAGGUACGGGAAUUGGGGAAGGUUUUGAGGGAUGUGGGGAUCCCACGUGCCAACUCAAUCCAAAUUGUUAAAUUUUCACCCCUUAGUCCCGUUUAAGGGCAUUUUCGUCUUUUCACGUCCUCGGAAUUAAAAUUCCGGGACGGGCUGUGACAUCGUUUGGGCCCUCUGGUCCUUCAAGAUUCUCCAAGAUAUUAAUAUUUUAAUGAACAGUACAGAGUCAUAUUUGCCUCCGUCUCCAACUGGGGGUCAAAGGGCCAGAUGGCUCGUUUUAGCCUUGUCGCAAAACAUAAUUUAUUAUUUAAAAACUACAACUUAAAUUCAAGUUAACUAUUUAAAAAUAGAAGUUAUAGGGGAAAAAAAAGAAUUAAAAAAAUAUGAAACAAAUUUUGUGAAAUAGAAGUUAUAGGAAAAAAAAGAAUUUAAAAUAAAAUGAAACAAAUUUUGUGAAAUAGAAGUUAUAGGAAAAAAAUAGAAUUAAAAACAAAUAUGAAAAAUAGAAGUUAUAGGAAAAAUUUGUAAAUAAAAAAUAAUAAUAAAAUUGUGUAAAAAAAAAAAUCAAAUGCAAGCUAGCCGUUGUAUUCAAAUUUUUUGAAGUAAAUUUGUGUCGGUUAUAACCGACACAAAUAGUAAUACAAAUUACUAUUAUUGUCGGUUAUAAAUGACACUAAGGGCUGGUUUGGUAUUGCUGUGCUUUGAAAAAAAGCUGCUGUGAGAGUAAGCGGCUGUGCUGUGAGAAUAAGCGGCUGUGAAAUAAAUCAGCAGAGUGUUUGGUAAACUUUUUUGUAAAAGUGCUUUUGGAAAAAAAAAAAAAGCAGUCUGAUAGUGAGUCUUUUCAUUAAAGGAGCACUGUAGUUCUGUGUGCUUUGAAAAAAAGCCAGUUUUCUAAAGCUACAAUUUGCAGCUUCAGCUUUUUCCUUUGAUUUCAGCUUAUUCUCACAGCAGCUUCCAAAAUAAGCCAUUUUUUUUAAGUUUACCAAACACCAAAAACACUCUCAGCUUUUUUUCAUAGGAGCUUUUUUUAAAAUCACCUCAACCCCAAACUGGGGCUAAUUGUAAACAAUAAAGCCUAGCGGGACCAAUUAUGUCGGUUAUGAUUGGAAGCAGCCAGCCCUUUGUCCCUUUGGGAUUCUGCCUCUCAGAUUCCAGAGCCCUCUAGCCUGUCCCUUUGUUGUAUACGAUUUUAGGGCUAUUUUCGGCCAUCUGGACCAUUCGAUUGGAGAUGACUUAACAUCCCAUCCCUCCAUUUUAUUUAAAAAAUAGUUUUGGUUUUUAUUUGGUGAGCCCAAGGGGCCCACCCCCCUGAUUUUGUCCCCCCGAGCCCUCAUCUCUCUCUCUUUGUCUUCUUCUUCCCUUUCCCGUAUACCUCUCUCAUUCUUUCUCUCUCAGCACUGAGAUCUUCACCUAGCCCUCACCUUAGCUCCCUCAUAAAAUCAAGCCCAAAAUUUAUAUUUUUGGAAUCCCUAAGAUUGGAGGAACCCUGCAAUGUACUUGCAUGCAUCAUCGGGCCAUUGUGAAGUGAAUCACCAUUGAUGCCGUGAGCUUUGAAGCUCUCAAAUUCGAACCCAGGUGAGACUUGUGUUCCUUCUUCAAAUUCCUGGGUUAUGCAUGUUAUUUUAUGAUUUGUGAUAUUGGUUUUAUGGUAAAACUCGAGGGUUUUGACCUCAGCUCUUCUCUAUGCCAAGAACCCAGCUCCGACGACGAACUCCGGCGAGUUUGUUGCUGUGGAUGCAUAGGCCUCUUUGAAUUCGAACCCAGGUAAUUUAUUUACCUUGUUGUUUGUUGAACAGUGUCCUGUGUGUGGGUUGUGAGUGUGGUGUGGAGUGUAUGUGUGAGUGUGUGUGUGUACUGCAUUUAGUUGCAGGUUUGAAUGCUGGUAUCGACUGAGAUGCCGAGUGUUGAAUGAUGAUGAUCAUAUAUAGCAUGCAUGCAUCAGUAUGCGGUGUGUGUGUUUGUGUGUGCAUGUGCGUGAGUGUGUGUGCAUGUGUAUGUGCAUGUGUGUAUGCAUACCGUGCAAGUGUGUGAGUACGUGUGUGCGUGCAUGCUAUGCAGUACGUGUGUGUUGUGUACAUGGGUUGGGCUUAAAGCCCGGCCCUGUUUGUAAAGCCAUUGGCUAUGGGCUCUGUGUGUGUGUGUGGGUGUGCCGUGUGUGUGAGUAUGAGUUUAGGCUUAAGCCCAAACCACCCCUUUUGUUCUUAACCUAUCCAAACUCAAGACCCAUUUCCAUUUCCUGAAAUUAUAUCGUUUGGGUAGUUUGAUUAAUUGUACAUUCUUGUGUUUAGGUGAAAUUGCUAGUGAGGAUUUCCUUAAUCUUUUUCCACACAAUUUUGCUGCUACGGAGUAUCUGUGAGUGGACUAUCUUCAAAAAUUGCAUGUUUUAUUUAUAUAAUUGCAUAAUUUAAUAGCAUGCCUUACAUAAUUAUUGAUUUGAGGAAUACUUUACAGGAAGCAUGAUGAUUUAAUUAUGAUUGAUUAUAUAUAUAUAUUUUUGAACUAUUUUCAUUAUAUUGUAUUUUUCUUUAGAACCCCCAUUCUGUUAGACUAUCUUAUCGAUGACGAUAGGAUGCUAAGAAUGUGUUUCAAAUGAUUUUCGAACACCUCUUUGUCGUAUAGAGGAUCGAUGAAUUUAUGCUACGAAGUUGUAUUUUAGAGAUGAAUUAUGUUUUGUGCGUACCUAGUGAACACUAUGCCGUCUGGGGCGAGGAUCUGGUGUUGGCAUUGAGGCCGGGAGAAAUAAUCUCUAGCGAAAGGCUGAGGGACACGGAGACAAGCAUUGGGCCGGAAGGAGAUAUCUCUGGCUACGGGCACAGAGACUAAGGUGCAAGCAUUGGGCCGGGAGAUAUUAUUAUUCGGUGCACUCACUAGCAGCGCAACUUGUGUUAUGCUUCUUGAUAUGAUUUGCAGAUAGAUAUAUGAAUUGUUUUCAUGGCAUGCUAGAGGUUUUGAGAGACCUAUCACUUAUUAUUUAGUAGUUUUCAUCAUAUUAACUGUGGGGGUUAGUAUGUUCAUAACUGUUUUAUUAGUAUUGUAUAUAUUAACUUGGUCCACUCACCCUUGUUUUGCGCCCCCUUUCAGGAUUUAGAAUCAAGGCAUACGAUCACAACGUCAACGCUUUCUCAUUGGCAUAGUCGAGUAUUCUCGGUGUAGGACCCACAUCCUUUUAUUUAUUUCAAUUUUAUAUUAAUUCUUUUAGAGCUCUAGUUAGUUGUAUGUUCUGAACACGUUCCUAAAUUAUUAACUCAUUGUAUUUUUAAAUUCAUAACCCUUAUUUAUUUCUUAUUCUUAGCUUUUGUAUCAAUUAAUGGCUUUCGUCACCCUCGAGUGUCAGCCAACACGUGUCUAUCCUGGUAUUCGGGGAAUAUCAGGGUCGGGACGUGUCAGAUUGGUAUCAGAGCAUGGUUUGUUCAGAGCAUACUUAGGAUCUCUUCUAUUCUCGUAAAGUGUCGGUUCUGACAUCAUUUGGAUGUCAGGACUUCUAGAUUUGGUGCCAUUUGGCGCAGUUGUGCAAACCUUUCUCUGUUUGAAUUGUCACCUUCUUGUUGAAAUACGAGAAUCGUGUUGAGAUUGUGCCUCAUAGGAAACGAAUUGGUUUGUUGGACGAUUUUCGACAUCGAAUUAAUACUCUACAAUAUGCAUCCCUAGGAAUUGCGGGCGGAGUCGGCUCUACAUCAAAAUCUUGGGAAAUGGAAAAAACCUAAGUGGUUUGAAUUUGGAAGAUCUGAAGAAAUGAUAUCACUCUGCGACAUGUGUUCUUUAGGAAUGGUGGGCAAAGUCAUCUUUUGGAAAUUGUUCGAAACAUUCAAAGUGCGUACUAAAUAAACGAGUAAGUGCUAAUGGUGAUGACUGUUAGUAGGUGGUAGUUGGUGGGAGCAAAUCAAUGUUCUCGGACUCGUUUCCACUGAGGAUAUUUGUGUAAAUCUUUAGAAUGAAUCUUCGAUGAUUGUUCUAUCGAUAACCUUUUUGCUUAUUCCAACGACGAAGUUAAGUUUCCUAAUCAUUGAUCGUCAGCUUCACAUCAAAUUCUUCGAGUGUGGACUUCAUUUACAUUAAUUGCUUUUCUUGGGAACUCCUUGGUAGCAGACUAUUCUCAUCAAUUUCCAAAAGGGAGUUGCAUUUCUUGUUGUUGUUGCAGUUGGAUUUGGAUGAUGAAUAUCCAGUCUUGUUUGGAUAAACAGAUUCCUUGAAUUUCACCUAGGUCUGGUACUCGGGGGAAAACUCUAGUUCCUCGUCCGCGUACUUUUCGGUGAAGGUGAACUUAGCCUCUUGCUUGUAGCUCAAUUAACUUGUCCACUAACUUUUCAGCCUUGUAACUUUCAGUGUGAUGGUUUGAGACUCUACCACAUUCAUUGUUGUACGAAGAUCGAGCUUUACUCUGAACUUCUCUGGACUUAUUGAGCUUUGGGUUGCUCAAGAGCAUCACUUUAAGGUAGCCAAUCGUGCCACUGUAUACGCAGCCUGCUUUGUAUCUUUCUUCUUCGUCAUGUUGCUGAUUCAGAGGUUCUAUGUUUAAUUUUUGAACUUUGAAACAGCUUUCACAAAGUAUUGUGAAUUUCGAAAUGUCUUUGGCCUUGUCAAAUCUUAUUGACAGUUCUUAACUAUUCUUGAGUUUAGACCUAUUUCCUUUUUGGCUAAGAAACCAGUUGACCAUACUGUGAUGAUUUGCAAAAUAAUCAUAAACAGUGACUUCUAUUUCUGCAUUUUCACCUUUCUUCGCUUAUUCGUCUCUUAAUGUGAAACUGGAUCAUUCAUUCGGCAUGGUUUCUAGUUCAAAUCUCGAUAUCUUGUACUCUGGAUUGUAAUGGACUUGUUUUGACCCUUAAAAUCUUAAGUGUUCCUUCAGCGUUCUCGACAUGGUUUCUUGCUCAAUCAGUGAGGAAUUCAGGAUUGAUCGAUUUGGCAGAAGUGUAUGCCCAAUUCUUAACAAUUCAGACAAGAACGUUAGGAGCAUAACCUUUUCACAAGUUUAUCAGGCUUACCAGAAAGAGUUCCACAUCAGUGUGAGGUUUGAGUCGUCUUUUGGUAAGGGAUUAGUGAAGAUUGUAGUGCAGGUGAUCUGCAGAUUGGAUCACCAUCUUUAUGCUGAAUUGGAUGGUCACCACUCAUUAUCCUGCUGCAGUUUAGAGACAACUUAUCGUAUGCUAGUAGUUCUUUUCUAACGUUAUGGGUUCGUCUCAAUGCAUAUGUUCACUGCUUCACUCCAAGACUCUUUGUUUGUGAGUAUGUGGAUGUCGAAACACUUCUAGCAGUUAUGCUUGGUGCGGGAUAGAGUUUUACGACAACAGUUUCUGUUUUGUUCAUUUUGGAGUAUGGCACUUUUUGUGACAUGGUACGAGAGUUUUUCAUGGGCGACUUUUGCUGGCAAAGGAGUCUUGCAAACUAAUAUUCAAAGGAUCAAAUUUACGACAUGUGAGAUUGUGUAUCUUCAGGAAAUCACUAUUUGCUUAACGAGACAACAAAUGGGUGGUCGAUAUCGCGGGCGGCCGACUGUGAUAUCGAUAACUUAUUUGUUGGGUUCGCUAAGCAAGUGGGCAAGAAGACUCGUUUACUGCAGCUAUCACAGAUUCGUUAUUCUUGGGGCUUGACCCAAAGACACAUCUAUUCUCAGAGUACGCGACGUUUCGAAUUUAUGUACGAAUUGCUGGUUAGGUAUAACAAGAAAAUCGUCUUCACAGUUAUUAGAAUGUAUGGAAAUAGAUACCCGUGCGUAUAGGAUGUUCGUACAUAAAUGUAUCUAAUCUUGGCUGUAUUUUUCAUAAAACUUCCUUUUCAUGAUUAGGGACUACGAUCCUUGGUGCUAUAAAAUCAGCAGUCAACUCAAGCACAGAAGUUAUAUACAGUGAGAAUCCUGAUCGUAAUUUUGUAAAGUCCAAUAACUUUGCAUAUGCCAUUGUUGUGGUUGGCGAGCAUCCUUAUGCUGAGACCGCGGGAGACAGCCCAAACCUAAUGAUGGCGGAACCUGGCCCAAGUGUCUUCAGCAAUGUGUGUGAAAGUGUCAAGUGCAUUGUUAUCUUAAUAACUGGCAAACCUAUUGUAAUCGAACCAUAUAUUUCCUCGAUUGAUGCUCUGGUGGCAGCAUGGUUGCCAGGCUCUGAAGGCCAAGGCAUUACUGAUGUCCUUUUUGGGGAUCAUGGAUUCAGUGGAAAGCUUCCAAGAACAUGGUUCAGAACUGUCGAUC